rnacentral:lncRNA from 1 species
ACAAACGGCGUUAAUUUCAAAACAUAAACAUGGGAAACAAGGUGAAUAUAUAUGGGCAUAUUUCCUUGGAAUCAAUGAAAAAAAACAUGAGGACAAGAACUAAUACAAAACAACAAUUAAACCUUGCACUUUAUCGAUACAUUAAAAAACUAGUAAGGUCUAAAAAUUUCAUCGAAACUUUCUCAAAAAGGGAAGGGAUAGCUUACAUUGCAAGUGUAUAAAUUGGGGCUACGGUCACUUACCAUUUUCAUGAAAUAAUAAACCAGUUCAGCAAGUGCAACAAAUAAAAAUUAAAAUGGCUAAAUCUGUUUCUGGCUUUACAAUGACUUUUGCUCUUCUUUUUGCAUUCUUCAUCAUCUUCGCUUCGUUCGGUGAGUGACAUUGAUGUGUACUUCAUGAUGAUAAGUUUCUGCAAGCACGCAUGCAUUAUAAAAUUUAAUUAACUAGAAAUUAAUCAUUUUGUGUAAGUGUUGUGUAUUACAGAAAUGGCAAAGCCGGCAGAGGCUGCACUAUGCGAGCGGCGUAGUAAGACUUGGACUGGCCCGUGCUUCGUAACAGAAGACUGUGAUAAACAGUGCCGAGAACGCGAGGGUGCAAGUAGCGGUGCUUGCCACAGAGAUGGCCUUGGUUUUGCCUGCUUCUGCUUCUUCAAUUGCUAGCUAUAGUUACUCAACUUGAAGAAGCUGCAUUCAUGCCUUUUGCUGCUUUUGGGUGUUUAUUCCUCUUGUGUUUGGAAAUAACAAGCUACUGUUGUGUUGGUCAGCUAUGUAGCUGCAGCUGUUUCACGAAAUAAUAUUUAAAAUAAUAAGUAACCUUACUGUUGGUUAUAUGUGGCUAUUUUCAUGAAAAUAAUCGAUGUUUAUUGUUUUUUUUUUUUUUUUUAUAAAUGUAUACCUUGAACUAUGACUGAAUAUUGUUUGGUUUAAUGUUUCACAUUAUUUGUUCCUACUGUUACAAUUUUAUAUGUGAGUUCAAGAUUAUUGUAUCUUCAUUUGGUCAUUCAACCUAAUUAUAGGUAGGAUUGCAAUUUAUAAUAGCGUAUCUGCGUAUGAGUUCGAGCCACAUAUGAAGCACUGUCACUACUUGACCAAAAAGAAUCGUAUAACAAGCUAAUAUAUAUUUUUUACAUGUUUCUCUUUUUUGGAAACACUAAAAGAAAAUAAAAUUUGUAAAUAUGAGAUUAUUGAAAAGAACCUUUUUUAUUCAUUUUAAAAUCCUACAUUUGUUAUUGUCUAUGGGACAAUUAUGACUAAUGAGAAAAAAUAUGAAUAAGGGAUGUCCAACAAAUCUAUUUUCACUUCAUGCGAGUGCAGUAAUAGCGUAUCUGCAUAUGAGUUCGAGCCACAUAAUGAUAUCCACCAUUUAUUCUCCAUUAACACUUUUUUCCAAUUAAUACUUUUAUCCAUCCUAUAACUAUAGGAGUAAUAUCAAAUCUGCUAAUUAGAUACUCCUUCAUCAAUGUAAUGAAUUUUGCAGGUAAUCACCUCCAGGAUCUAGCCAACUACUUUUUAAGAAGUCUUAUUUAAUUGAUGUUAAAUAUUAAAAAAGCAUUUUAAUUUUUACCCACAUCUCUACCUUUUAAAAAACAUUGUUGCUAAUCCAGUCAUGUCCCCGCUCCAUGAUCCUACUAGUAUUUUAUCUUCAAACUACUAAUUUAAAUAUCUAAUAUUUAUUGGAAGACUUUCCUACCCAUCUGAAUUGUUAUCUUUGAAAUCGUACUUUGUUACUAUUAUCCAGAAAUAAAAGAAUAAUACUUGAGUAGAAGGAAUUAAUUAUUUGAACCCAUAAAAUUACUCAUUAGACUCAUUUUUUAUUUAAGUUUUUAAAUUUUUAUUACUAGAAUGUCCAUAGCCUAAAUUUAUAUUAUAGAUAGGACAAUACUGGCACUUGAGUAGGNNNNNUUAAUUAAUUAANNNNNUAUAUAGAUUGUCGUAUUAUUGGAAUUCGUAGAGCACGGCUUACGCCACUUGCGUGGCAUAAAUGCUGCAAUUUCCUCGCAGUAGCAGAGCUGAAUUAUUAUUGGUGCAUGGUGGGUCAAGUAGAGCUAGUUAUUGUCGACCAAAUUCACAUUGGAUUCUCUUGCUUGCUUUUGCUCCAGUCACAAACCGGACUUCGUUCAAUCUACGUAGAUUUUAUCUUUUCCAAUUAUAAUUAAAUAAUAGUAUUUAACUUUAUCAAAAUAAUAAUAAUAAUAGUAAUAAUAAUAGUACUUAACCAUCUCUGGGUAUUUCAGGAGAAUUAUUUAAUUUUAUUUGGCUAAAAUUAAAUAAUCGGAACUUAUGAAAUACUUCCCAAAAAAUUAUUUACACGCAAAAUUAAUUGGAUAACUUUAAUAAUUCCAAUUAAGAGAGAAAUCUCACCGGCGAAUCUCUCACAAUCACUAAAACUAAGAUUAAUUUAAAAGACAUCUAGUGGUAAGUUAGUAUUGACUAGUCAUAAUCACUACAAAUAAACAUAGAUUAUUUAAAUUAUACAUUAGUACGUAUCAGAUAUAUUAUUGUGUAUUAAAUAAAAUAAAUAAACCUAUUUAAAUAUUUGAUUGAUGAUUAUUUAUCAAAUGAUUUUAAAAUAUUUUAUAUAAUAAUCAAAUGGUAAAAGAUAAAUAACUCAACCAAUUACUCAUGCUUGACUUUAGAGGCAGAAACGCGUGGAUUGACGUCGUGGCGCUUCGGUCGUUCCUGGCUGAAUUAUUGGUGGAUGGUGGUGUUUUGGUCAAUAAAGCUCUGUUUUUGUGUGCACUUUUUCACUCUUCAUUCACAAACCACGAGUCCGCGACCACAAACUAGGCUUUGUUCAAUUUCUGCACAUUUCUUUCUUCUUCAUUUUUCAUAAUUUACUCUGCUUUUAUAAAAAUACGAUAAAGAUGAUAAUCUUUUAUAAUUUAUUUUAAAAAAUAAAUAAAUAAAUAAAAGAAUUAGGCCUUAUCUCAAACAAUACUAAUUAAAAUAAAUUCACUCAAACAAAAGAUAAAUAAUUAAAUAAAUAAUCAUAAUUAAAUUCAAACAAACAAGGAACAGGUGUUCCUAUCAAAUUAUUCUUGAUUCCAUUUGCCAAUCCAUCUCAAGACUUUAAGAUCUAAUUAUAUAUAAUUUAGUUUAAUUUAAUUAAUGGUAUAAUUUACUCAGUAUCAAAUGUUAAAAUGGAAAAUGUCUCUAUGAAUUGCUAGUCAUCAUCUCAUGCAAUGAUAUAUAGACAAUUAGUUAACACAAACUUUUUAUAGCUAUUUAUCAUCAAAGUUGUCAAAUAUAGAAUUUGUAUAAAUAAAUCUUAGUUGUAGAAUAAUUAUUAAUUAAAGAAAUAUCUAAAAUAGUUGACGUAUGUAAUUCAAAAAUUAUGUAAUUCAAUUUUUUUAUUAAUUAGAGUAUUUUUAGAGAAAUAUCUAAACAAUAAGGUCUAUCUAAAAUAUGGGCCUAAGAAGAUCGAUUAAUUUAUCUAUACUUAAAUCCGCCUAAUCAUAAUAAAUUAAAUUAGUAUUAAAUAGUAAAAUUUAAAAUUAAUUUAAUGAUAGUUAAUACAAAAAGUUGAUUUAUAUAUAUAAUAAAUUAGUAUUAAAUAGUCAUAAUUACAAUAAACAAAUGUAAAUUAUUGAAAUUAUAUAAUAUUACAUAUGAGAUUUUUUUUUAUUGUCUAUAAUAAAACUAUUUAAAUAUUUGAUUAAUAAUUAAUCAUCAACAAUUUUAAAAUAUUUUAUAUAAUAAUUCAACUAAUAAAAAAUAAAUAACCCAACUGAUUACUAAUGCCUGACUUUAGUGGCAGAAACGCGUGGAUCAGCGUGGUAGUGUUUUGGUCGUCGCUAGCUGAAUUAUUGGUGCUGAUAAAAAACAAAGCUUCGUUUUUUGUGUACAACNNNNNUUAAUUAAUUAANNNNNAUUUUUUUUUUUUUUUUACUAUUAUACGAUUUUAUUGUAAUCAAAUCUUUUAUAAUCAAUAUAAAUCAUAAAUAAAUAAAAUAAAAUUCAAUAUCAAAAUAAAUGUAAUUAAUUAAGUAACAUUUACAUUAUGCAAUUUUUUUUAAUAUUAAACUGUUUCAAUAUGUUGCGAUAGAUUUUAUUAAUACUAAAAUCCCGUUAACUCAAAUUUUGACUUAAAAAUUUUUUUAUGCGCUUUUCACAUUCUGCGGAUAGCUGCGACAUUAAGCUUGAGUAUUCCCAAUCCAAGGAAAACAUUAAUUUAUUAUUAUUUUGUUGUAUAUGAUAUGAAACAAGAGGCUUCAAGAAAACUCAUGUCUCCCGAACUCUCUCUUAAAGAAAUUCUAAAAUUAAUGACUUUUUACCAAUAAAAUGUAAAUUGGAUUAAUAUUGAAUUUGAUUUUUUUAAAGAAUAUAGAUAUAAUAUUAAAAUAAAUAUUAUAAAUAAGUUAAUGGAAAAAUUUUAAAUUAUUUUGAACGUUUGACUUCAUUAUUUAAUACUAUUAAUCAGAUUUUAUUAUCAUUAUAAUAUAAGGGCCGGAUCUACAGUCCCCAAAAAUACCUUUAAUUUUAGAAGAUUGGACAAAUUGCCCCCUUUAAAAUUAUUCUUACAUUACACAUAAAUAUAAUAUGUCUAAAUCUUUGUUAUCAGUUAUUGUUAUCAGUUACAAUAAAAUAUUCAUAAGGUCGACUCAAAUGUAUUUGUUGGGCCGCAAAUUCUGAAAUGCACGUACAAAACAAGAAAAAUGACAGUGAGAAGAGAAAAUUCAAGAAGCUGCUGGACUUAUAAUAUCUCACAGGAUAUGUACACGCUAACAUCGCAAAGUCAACAAACUCCAUACAUAAUUUAUAUUUUAAAUAGGGUCCGCCUACCGUGCAACAGUUACACGGUACUCCACUUUUUAUCUUUUUUCAACUCAGCUAAUAAAUCAAUGGCUAAAGUGUUCAACGGCCAUGAUGUGUUCAAUUGGUUAUUAACACUUAAAUUCCUACUGUUUAUUAUAAAAUUAUAAAAGUUAAAAGUUUUUAAAUAUUCACUUACAUAAUUUCUGUUGUUUUAAAAUUUUUAAAGUUUGAUCCAUUGACUUACUUUGAUCAUAAAAAUAAUUGAUGGUGUAAAUAUAAUAAUGUAAUAUCACAUAAAAUUUUUAAACACGUGAAAAUUUGAUAAAUCUAAAUAAUAUUUUUUGUUAUAUAAUAUAUAUUUAAUGUAAAAAAAUAAAUUGAAUAUGUUUUAAGAAUAUAGGUUAUUAACCUUGAUACUUUAGAAAAUUAUAAAAUAAAAAAGGUGAAAUUUAAAAAUAAGAAACAUGUAAAAAGUCUUAGGUUGUAAAAUUUUAUUAUUUUAAUAUUACAAAACUUUACUUUUUUAUUACAUUUUUAUUUUUAGCAUUAGUUGACAUGUUAGUUUAUUUAUACAUACAAUAUGUUAAUUUACCUAUAAAAUAUCAAUAUAUAUAUAUAGCCCAACAAAGUUAUAGAAAGAUAAAUAAAUAAUAACAUAAAAGGAAGUUAGUUUUUUUUAAUAAUAUUUCAAAAGCAUUUGAGCUUCAUAUUUCUUGAUAAUAUCAUUUUUUAAAGAUAUUUGAGCUUGUGAAUCUUGUUGUAAUGAUAAUUUAUUAUUUAUUCUUGAUUAAAAAUAAUUGAAUAGUAAAUUUAUUGAUUUCCAAAUGCUCUUUUAAAUAUAGGGUAGUUGGUUAAUUUUUAUUGUAUUAGCCUAAACUUUGUGAUGAUAGCUAAUCAACCAUUGUAAAAGAUCUACCACGAUUAUUUUUACUUUCUCUACAUCUCUCUAAUCCAUUAUCACUCAAAAAGUUAAAGGUCCGUUUGACACACUAUAUUAUAUUAUAUUAUAUUGUAUUGUAUUAUGUAAUGCACAUGUAUUAUANNNNNUUAAUUAAUUAANNNNNAUUCACUCUGUUCCCCGGUCACAGCCUUGCUGGCUGCUAGUCUUCUUCCAAAUCUAUCUCCCCGUCUUUCAAACCUGUUCACUUCGUUGUUACUUACAAUGAUUAUUGGUGCACUUUCCUCUAUCUGUUCGGUCGAGUAGCUCCUGUUUCCUUUCUUUCACAAAGAGAGAUGAGCGAGCUACUGAAAGAGAAUGCUACUUAGAUAUGCACCCUCUACCAUGAGUUGUAGAGCUUAAUAAAUCUUCCUUGCCCCCUUCCCUUGGCUGGUCCCAUCACCCGAGAUUGCGUUGCUCGGAGCAACACUAGCUGACACCAAAGAAGGUGAUUCGGCUAUCAAUCAAACCUAGGUUAAAAUUCCCGCCCUGAAGAAGCCAAAGCCGCGCGAGCAUCCAGGUCCGCAUCCACUGACCCAGGGUAAGUAGUUUACGCCCUUCUUAUCUUAUGAUGCUUAAUAUGUGCCUCGAUCUAAAAAAUGAAUCUGAUUGAUGAAUUGCGAAUACCACGAAGUAGUCAAAGGCGCUGGCUCAGCUCAACAAUACAGGUUUCGCUUCCUCUCCCCUGCGGUCGAGCCUGCUCUCGAUCCGGAACUAUACCUUGGUCUUGUGAUCCAGCUUCAGAUCGAACGGUAAGGAUCCCCUCUCCGGGGUUUGCCAUAUCUAUGCCAGGGCGGAAGAGAUAUACCUAAUUCCAUUCUAAGCCUACUAGCUCGACGAACCCACUUCACUACUCCCUCGUAUCGUCCGUCCCGCUACUACAUCGCCAAUGAGUCUUUCUCCCAGAGCUCCCGUCUCAGUUACAGAUCUUGGCAGUCCCCGAUUCUGCUCUUCACAUCAAGGUCAGGGCCACUCCACGUCAGUCUCUGUCGUCGGUUUCGGAUCAGCGUUCUUUAUACUUACCUUAAGAGAAUACCAGGUCAGAAACCAUGAAGCCUAAGUUGGAGAUGGAGCCUACGCCUAGGACGAACUCAUCCAAAGCGGAUAGAGUCAAAUCGAGCUACUUCGUUCUCUCCUUGAAUUAUUGUAUAGGGCGAGCUACUCCAUCCCUCACGCUUCGGGGCUGACGCUUGUUUGUUUAUUGGGAUCAUUCUCCCUUAACUGUCAAGAGCAGGUGAUGCAAAGAACCUUACUCACUUUCGAACAAAUACAUCCUGUUUGAUUACUAGUUCGGGCUUACAGGUAGGGGCGGCUACUCACUAACCGGAGUACUUGCCAUUAUUAUGUGAUUUUCUCUCUCCGGUUCCUUGAUCGGGUAUUUAGGAGAGAAAGGAACUACUAAACCAAGUAAACCGGCCUCAACGAGUCCCUCAGGACUACAAAAUGUUGGGGCACACUCUCCUUUUUCAUUUAAGGUCGAUCUCUUUUAGAACCAAUCUCAAAGCACGCGACUGAAGGAAGCGGCGUGAACUAUUCUUAUCUUAAGACAAUAGACAAUCGCCUUAAGGGAAAGGGGCAAACGGGUCCUGCUUAAGGGAAAGGGGCAAACAGGUCCUGGAAGAGAGAGGUUAGAACCCGAAUAAGAGGCCUUGAUUAACUCCGCCCCGCAACUAUACCUCUAUCUAUCUUAAAGUAAGACUGGCACAAAAACGAGUAGGAAGUUCAAGACGAGUACUUAUUGAUGAUUCAAUCCAACCGCAUCUUUAGCACGGUUGACUUAGCCCUUUCAAGGAAAACUAUCACUACCGAAACGGAACCAUCACUAUGAACUAAGAAAAAAAAAAAUAGCACUCUCCCGCUUGACGGAUCGAACACUCCACAACACGAAACUAGCAAAGCCAUUCCGUGACUCAUCGAGAAUUUCACGUGGGAUCGACUGGCUAGCUGUUAGGAUUUUUACAUUACGCCUUUCUCUGGAAGCGCGGUUCACUCAAAUAGGUAUGUCGGGCCGAGGUCCCGCCCUUUGCCAUGUCUCACUCUUGGGUUACAUAUNNNNNUUAAUUAAUUAANNNNNUCAUUUUAAGAUAUUGUUUCAAAUUUUUAGAUAUUUUUUUAAAAAAAUUUAAAUACUUUAUAAUAUGAUGAUGAUUUUAUUUUAAGUCUCUAAUUUUUAACUUACUAAAAUAAUGUAUUUAUAUAUAUUAUAAAAUAGAUAAAUGGGGAAUGGGGUGGGGAUGGAGAAAUCAUUCCCCACAUGGGGAUUCUCCAUCCCCACCCCACUAAAUUUAUUGGGGAAUGGGGUGGGGAAUGGAGGCAAAAAUUUCUAACGGGGUGGGGAAUGGGGUAGGCCUCCCCACCUCCACCCCACCCCAUUGCCAUCCCUAUAUUUUUCAAAUAAAUAAAUACAUUUUAAGUAAGAAAAUUAACUACACAUUAUUGAAAACCUACUUUUCCAAACAAAUUACUAAACAUGGUUUUUCCAUUUUCUUUUUCAUGUAGUACUUUUUUUUUUUUGAAAAGUUUUCAUGUAGUACUUAAGAACAAAUUAACGAAUAAUUUUUCAAAUAUAUAAAAAAUCCGAUCAAGAACCUUUUUUUUUUGUGAAAUAAAUUUAAAAAAUGCCUAGAAAAUGCAAUACCAAGCACACCCUAGUUGGCCCCUAUUCCUGAAGAUUGAAAGAUACAUGCUCUUUUUGAUCUAACAACACAGAAAACGAUAUGCAUCUGCAUAACCACCUUGCUUAAAACACAUUAAUGGGCGGCAAAAAGUACCAGCCGUGUCACCAAUCAAAUUUUGACUAAUGUAUGCAUGUGAUAGAGCCUUAUUCACUCAUAAGACUGAGCCAGUUCUAAAUUUGUAGCUAUUUAAAACCAAAAUUAAAUGAAGAGCCGUGCAACCUUCGCAGACCAACCACCAUUUUAGAUAAGGGAAUUAUUUCUGAAUUCACGUAAAUAUCUGAUCACCACAUAAUUUUAACAUAUUUUCUGUACUAUUUUUAUUUUUAAACUUAUAUUAAUCAACUACUUUAACAUUAAUAAUUGAAUAUUUUAUCGUUAAAUGAAUUAAAAUACUAUUUUAUUCUAUAAAAUUUUUAAAAAUAAAAAUAUUAUAAUUACAAGAAUACCCAUGAAAUGGUUAAUACAAGAAAUAAAUUUCAAAAUCCAAUGCUAAUUUUUUAUAAUUAUAAUUUCAUUUAAAAAAUAUCAUGUUAAUUUUUUUUAAUUAUAAUUUCAUUUAAUUUUUGUAAUUAAAUUAAGUACAGGGAAGUUUCUUAAUUUUGAUUAUAGUUUCUUAAUUUUAAUAAACCACUUUUAUUUUCAUGUUAAUUUUUGUAAACUUCUCUAUACAUAAAUUUGAUUGUAAAAAUUAAAUGAUAUUAUAAUUACAAAAAAUUAACGUGAUAAUUUUUAAAUGAAAUUAUAACAUCAUCGAUUUUGAGAUUUCUUCGUUUUAUUAAAUAUUUCAUGCUUUCUUCUAAUUGUAAUAAUUUUAUUUUUCAAAUUCUAUAGAAAAAUGAUCUUUUAAUUCAUUUAGGGGUAAAUGGUUAUCUGUUAGUGUCAAACUGAUUAAUUAAUACAAAUUUAAAAACAAAGAUGAACCGAGGCGGUGUACAGAUAAUUUUCAUUUUAAGUAUCAUCACUCAUCAGUGCUUAAAAAAAUGGGUUUUAGUAUAUAAUGACAUGUUUAGUUUGAAGAAAUUGAAGGAGCAUAAAGAAGAAACAGAAAAUAAAUAAGAGAAUAAUAACAUAAUUCCUUGUCAAAUUAAGCAGAUUUGAUUGAAAUUGACCCUUUUUUUCCCUCAUUUUCUCUUCCUUUCUCUCCUUUCCUUUUCUCUUCUCUUCUCUCCUCCCAUUUUUUUCCAAACAAACAUUCACUAAAUGUAAAACAUCAUCUCUAGACAUUCAUAUUAACCACCGUUAGCUAUAAACAUAAAAAUGUACAACUGAUUUUUUCAACUGUAGGAAAUUUGUUUUUUUACUGAAUAUGGGAACUNNNNNUUAAUUAAUUAANNNNNAAUUACUCUCUAAGUGAUCUUGAUUUAAGUCUAAAAGUGUCAUGAUAACUGUCAUUUAAUAGAGUUAUCACACCCACAAACUUAAACCAUUACUCAUCCUCAAGUAAUGACAAAACAUUAAUAACUCAAUCACACAAUCACACAACAGUAAUAUAGCUUUUUCAUCAAGCUUGUAGGGAUUCUUUAACCCUCAAAUCACACUCUUAAUCACGCAAAAUUGCCAUAGCAGUUUAGUACUAGACUUGGACCUCAUUUUGUGCAAAGUGUGUGUGUGCCACUUUGAUCAAAUUCUAGAGAUGCUGCAGCAUUGCACCGAUGUUACUAUAUUUCAGAGGUAGAACACAAGUACAUUCAUACAUGAGGGAGUAAAAUUACUCUCUCUCUCUCUAUUUUUUUUUUUAGUCAUCAACUUCUCUUCAGUGUAUCAUUGAUUUUUUCAUGUGAAUGUCUAUCACUUAUGGUGAUGACACCCAAUUACUCCCACAGUGCACAAAUUAAAGUUGCUGCAGCAAUGCUCACGACACAGUCUUAUCUAUAGACACCUUUUACUGAAGGUUGAACAUGGGCCUUAUGAACAGACUUGACUACUCAAUAUCCUAGAUAGAGGACCUUCUCUCUCUAAAAUAAUUUUUUUAUUAGUGCUAGAGCAAUGCUCAUACUCUUAUUGCCUUUAGAUUCAAGUCUACAUAUGAAGUUCAUACUCAGCCUUCGUUACUCGGCAAUUCAAGCUAGUGGAGCAAAUUUUAUACGAGCACAUUUCAACAAAUAUUCCCCCAAAUUUGAAAAUUUUCUACCCUUUUUGUGGUUUCUGGCUCUGCUACAACAUUCUCAUAGAACUUAGUCAAAGCUUAAGUGUUGUGUCCUUACUUGGCAAUCUCAAAAAUUGAAUAACACUCACUUUAUCUUUAAUUUUUUUUAUUAUUAACCUCAUACACAACUAGAAAACAGAGCCACUCACCACACAAAACACACAAUGAACAAUAUAAACACAUGCACUAACGCAACCACCCCUCCCAAACUUGAGAGGUGUUGUGUCCUCACAAGCACAUAAAACAAAAUAAAACACACAUACAUAAUUUGGCACGAAAGAAAUGCAAAAUAAAAAUUAAAAUAAAAGUUUUAGAAAUUAAAAGAAAUUAAAUUGGGUUGUCAGGGGUACUCCCCUAUUGGGAUAUGAGUUGUUGCAACACGAGCUAAAAGGUUCAUUAUUUUUUUGUUGAACUCCUCAAUAGGUCCUUGGGUAAACCUCGUGGUUGGAUAACUGGCUGCUUUUUCCUCUUGCUCGGAGUUGGACUGGUUGGCAUGAAUUAGUUGGGCAACGAGUGCUUACACUAUUAAAGGGAGCGUGAAUUUUGAGGAGUGUUACUGAGAGAGAAGGAAAAUUCGAGUUAGAUUCGAGUCGGUACAAUGAAGCCCUAAUAUAUAAGUGAUGGUAAAAAAAAAUAGAAAUAAAAGAAAAGAAUUAAAUUAGGAAGAUAAAAUUGGAAAUAAAAUUUUGAAUUUUAAAACAUAUCAAUUUAAAUGAGGGAAGGAUAUCAGUUCAGGAAUCUAGGGAUUAUGUAAUCCCUUCUCAUCUUUAUCAUGAUUUGCUAAGUCAGCUGUCAAAAAAAUUCAUUCCUACUUGGUAAAGAAAAAUUUCCAUAACUGUAACAUUGUAGCGGUAAGCGAUAAGAAUCAUUACUAUAACAAAAAAUUCAAUGCUGCAGCAAUCUGCGAUGAAAUUCCAUGAUUGAUACAAACUAGUAUCCAGCUGUCAUGUGAAGUGUAAUGCUGCAGUAACUCGUAUACGUUUUUAGCCCCAAAAUAAACCUUUUUUUUUAGACUAUAAUGAAAUAUGAAAAGAAAGUAAUUAAUCAAAACGAAAUAACCAUAAGGAAAAACAUGGAAAAUUGAAUUAAAGGAAAAGAAAAUCAAAAUANNNNNUUAAUUAAUUAANNNNNCCCCAAUUAGAUGAGAUUUCACCAUAAAAAUUGUUUUGACUAAGAUCUAAGAACGUCAGGUUUGGGUAUAUGCCGAAAACUUCAUAUAUGUUUCCCGUGAGAUGAUUUUGUUCAAGAUGUACUAUGUUUAAGCUUGUGAAAUUUCUCGGGCUUUUAGGAAUUUGACCAAAAAGCUGCUUGUUGUCUAUCUCUAGCUCAAUUAAUUGCAAGAGAUUUCCUAUUUCUGGUGAAACCAAACUAGAGUAUAGGUAUAAACCUUCUAAAUUGCUCAGAUUGCUAAUUGAAGGAGGAAGGACACCAUUGAGUAGAUUAAGAUCAAAUCCUAAACUCAAAAGAGAUUGGACUUUUCCUAGAAUUGGGGGGAUAGAACCGAAAAGUGAAUUAUCACCAAGAUGCAAUACAGCCAAGUUGCUCAAAUUGCCCAAAAAAUGGGGGAUCGAACCACUAAGCUGAUUUUCAGACAAAUCUAGAUGAAAGAGAGACUUCAAGUUUCCAAUAAGUGAAGGAACAGAAGAAAUGAGUUUUCAUAAAGAUACAAAAUAACCAAGCUGGUUAAGUUACUCAAAGAAUUUGGCAUUGAACUACUAAAUUUAUUUAUACUCAAGUCUAAAGUGGAAAGAAACUUCAAGUUUCCCAUAGAUGAAGGAAUAGAGCCAAAAAGUUAAUUAUUAUUGAGAUUCAACAUAGCCAAGUUGUUUAAGUUACCGAAAGAAGAAGGGAACCAACCAGACAAACCGUUGCAAUAUAAGACUAGUUGUUUAAGAGAGCUUAAUUGACCUACUUCUCGUGGAACUGAGCCGCGUAACUUAUUCACAUUAAUGUAAAGCUGUUUUAGAUGAGUUAGAAGGUCGAUUUCUUGUGGUAUUACUCCAGACAAUUGAUUAUUUACCAUGUCAAGGAAUUUAAGAUUGGAGAUGUUGCUAAUUUGAGGCGGGAUGAUAGCAAAGAUUGUAUUACUGUCAUGCACUACUUGGAAAAAAAAAAGCCAAACAUGACAAUCUACAAAAGUAACAGUCAGCUACUUGCUUGCAUUCGGUGGCUCAUUCGGUGGCUUUAUAAAAUGCAACAUUUUGAUAAUUGCUUCAUUUACCAAAUUGGAGAACCGAGAGCAAAACAAAAGAAGAAAAAGAGAGAGAAAAGUGAAAAAGAGAAAGAAAAGAAAAGAAAGAAGCUGAAGGUGGGAAAAAGAGAAAUUGAGAGGAAAAGUUACAGAAAAUAGAAUUGGAUAUUUAGAUUAAUAUCUAGUAAACUCGUGGGUAAUAGAUUUAUGAAGUUUGAGCAGUUAUGUUACUGUUUACAUGAUAUGCAUAAGUUUUUAUAUCAGUUCUAACCGGUAAUUACAAAUCCUAUAUUUUAGGAGGAACUCUAGAAUCCGGGAACCCACAAGAGACCCAACGAACCCCGGAGUGAAACAGGAUUUGUGAGUGGAUACUAUUAUUACUAUUAUGUAUUCCGUGAAGCAUUUAUGUUUGAUAUUAUGAUUUAAUAUCAUGUUAUGGUUACAUGUACGCAUAUCGUAUGUUUGAUUGAGUCAUGAGAUGUGAUUACUAGUCACCAUAUAUGUACCUUUCCCCAUAGACUAUGUGCUUGUGUAUUGAGAGUUAGGUUACUUACCCGUGCGAUAUAGUUUAAUUACGCUAGGUAUUGAGAGGUUUUUCCCUUGCUCUACUCAUGCGAUGAUGAUCCCGGUGACUAUUAAGAGUUAUUUCCCCUAAUACUGUUUGGUGCAGUUUGUCAUGUAUGUAUGUAUGAAUUCCAUGUCUGUUGAUGUAUGAUAUUCAGUGUGGAGUUAUGUCACAUGAUUAUGUAUGAGUACUAAGUACUAGUAUGCUACUUAUUAGAGUUAUUUCUCCUGGUACUGUUUUGUAACAUAUGUAGAAUUUAAAAUAAAAAUGAGGCGGUUAAGGAUUUUAUUAANNNNNUUAAUUAAUUAANNNNNCCCUUUUGUGGCUCUUUCUUAGCCAAUAUCAUUAAAUAGGUGAUCAGCCGAAAUAAUGAAUAGAAAUAAGUAUUAUCAACACAAAGCGCUAUAGCAAACAUGCAGCAACACAUAUAAUCAGUUAAAGAGCCAUUAAGAUUGUUUAUCACUUAGCCACAACUAAAUUUAGUUCAUGAUUUGCGAAAGAAAAAUAAAGCAAAGAGUUUUAACUAUCAAAUACAUCCCCAUUAAUAAAUAAAAAACAAGAAAAGAACAAGAAGGUAUGAAAAUCAGGGUAAAUGGAAGUCUAGGGCACGUAUUCUCCUCUAGUGCAACCCUCAAUCUCUCUCUUGAAUUAUGUUUUUCUUUUUGUUUCUUUCUGGUUUUUCUCCUUGGGUGACGGCUCUUCUUUUCCUUUGCGUGUGUGCUUCUUUUAUAGAUGAAAAUUAGGGUAAACAGAAGUCUAGGGCGCGUAUCUUUUAGAUUAGGAAACUCCAGAUCGUAAUCUUCUAAGUAUCUCGGGCGAAAUCUUCUCUGUCAUUGUUUCAGAAUUGCUAUAGCAAUGGAUGCUACAGCAACAGAUGCUAAAGCAAUGACUACAACAAUUGCAUUGUUCCAAAUUUGUUUCAAUUCUUCUGUAGGCAAGUUCUUUUGCAUCUUUUGCAAGCCUAUUGCAACAGUAUUCCUUCCUUGAAAUUUGAGCUUCCAAUCACCUACAAUUAUGCACACAAUUUAAGCACACAAAAUUAUUCUAAAACAACGCAAUUUAUUAAAACUAAACUGAAAUGGAUAUUCAUGCAAAAAAAAAAAUGCAAUGAAAACAUGUCAUUUACUCUCUAAGUAAUCUUGAUUUAAGUCUAAAAGUGCCAUGAUAACUCUCAUUUCAUAGAGUUAUCAGCAGACGAUAGAGAUAGAGCCAUUAGAGACUAUGCCGUGUUGACUCCUCAAGUUAUGCAUCCUGCAAUAGUUAGACCUGAAGUGCAAGAUGCCAAUUUCGAACUGAAACUAGUGAUGUUUCAGAUGUUGCAAAUGGUGGGGCAAUUCAAUGGAUUGCCAUCGGAAGACCCUCAUCUUCACCCUAAGCUAUUCUUGGAAAUGAGUGAUGCUUUCAAAAUUGCUGGAGCAUCACUGUAUGCAUUGAGACUUAGACUUUUCUCAUAUUCUUUAAGAGAUUGAGCACGGACAUGGUUGAACUCUUUACCUCCAGACUCCAUCACCGCACAAAAUGAUUUACCUGAUAAAUUCUUGAUGACAUAUUUUUCACCAAUAAAGAAUGCAAAGUUGAGGAAUGAGAUUGUAUCUUUUCAUAAACUUGAAGAUGAAAGCUUAUAUAAUGCAUGGGAAAGAUUUAAUGAACUACUCAGAAGAUGUCCUCAUCAGGGUAUUCCUUGCUACAUACAAAUGAAAAUAUUCUACGAUGGAUUGAACCUAAGCACCAAAUUGAUGGUUGAUGCUUCAGCAAACAAGGCUUUAUUGUUUAAAUCUUACAAUGAAGCUUAUGAAAUUUUGGAGAGAAUUGCUAACAACAAUUAUCAAUGCCCAUCAACUAGACAAGCUGCAGCAAGAGUACACAAUAUGAAUGCGUUUACAGCACUAUUAGCCCAAGUAAUUUCACUGACAAAUAUGGUAAAGGCUAUGACGACUGCUCCAGCAUCUGUUAACCGAGUUGCCAAAGUCUCUUGUGUUUAUUGUGGAGUGGGAUAUUUAUUUGAUAAUUGUCCUGGGAAUCCAACUUCAGUCAAUUAUAUGGGCAACUUUAAUAGGCAAAAUUAGAGUAAUCCGUAUUCAAACACCUAUAAUCCUAUAUGGAGGCAUCACCCCAACUUUUCAUGGAGCAACCAGAAUCAGCUUGCUGCAGUAUCUAGUGGACAUAAUAGACCUACAUAGACACCAAGAUUUCACCAGCCAAAUCAAGGGCAUAGAAACACAAGCNNNNNUUAAUUAAUUAANNNNNUCUUUUGUGAGGAUCAAGAACUUCAGCUUGAGAUACUCCAAUUGGUUCGUCUGUCACAGUUGAAUGAGAAUGCACUUGUAAAUCACUACUGGAGCUCAAGGCAUCACUUUUUCCUGCAUCAGGUGUUGGGCUCAAACCCCCUAUAGGGCUAAAACAAUCAUUUUCAGGAGAGAAUUCCAUACCACAGCGCAUAUCUGAAGUAGGAGAAGCAAAGCGAUUAAGCGACUCCAUUGCUUCAACUUCAGCCAGCAGAUCUGAAACUGAUUCAUCUCGGUGAACUCAUCAGGUUCAGGGACAACCAUGGCCUGCCAACUAGCUGCAUUAGAUGAAAGGUGUGAAGGAGAAGAAUGCGUAGGCUGGCAACUUCCUGAUGUUGGAGUAGCAGCAUGAUCACUGGCCAUCAUGUUUGAUUUCAAAGAAGAUUCAGGCAUGAGAUUAGAGUCCCAUUCAUCCACAGAAGGUUUUGCAGGAGUGGGGGAAUACCCUCCCCAUUCACCAGAAACAUCAGGAAGGUGUGGUCUGCCACCCACUGGACUGGAAGCUGUACUCCAGCUGGGACCCGAAUCCUGAACUGGAGCUGUUGAAGGCAGAGACUGUCCAAUUCCAGCUUCCUUACCUUUCAUGUCUCCAUGGUUCGACUUUGGAGUAGGGCUGGGAAGGUCUGAGAAAUCAAUCUCCUGACAAUCACCAGCUACAUCAACAAGCUGUGGCCCCCCACCCACUGGACCGGAAGCUGUACUCCAGCUGGGGCCUGAAUCCUGAAUCGGAGUUUCUGAAGACAGAGACUGUUUAAUUCCAGCAUUCUCACGUUUCAAGUCUCCAUGGUUCAACUUUGGUGUUGGGCUGGCAACUUCAAGGCGUCCACCACCAUCCACUGAACAGGAAGCUGUACCCCACCUAGGGCCUGAAUCCCCAACAGGAGCUUCUGAAGGCGGCGACUGUUUGAUUGCAGCAUCCUGACUCUUCAAGUCUCCUCGGUUUGACUUUGGAGUGGGCUGGGCAGGUCUGAGAAAUCAAUUUCCUGACUCUGGUCUCGCAUUUCUAGAGUCUUUGUGAAUGAAACAAAAGUUGAGUUGGAAUCACAGCCAUUUGAAGAAUUCUCUAUGGCUGGACAUCUGCAGUUUUGUCCACACGACUGGCCUGAAUUGUCCUUGCUAUCAACUUGUUUGUCAUAACCAUUCCCAAUGUCAGUUUGACCCUCCGUGGUCUGACAAAAACAUCCCCUUAGACUAUUCUGAUCAGAUUUGCACUUUUCACCUUCCUCCUUUUCCUUGACUUGAUGUAACAUAGUUUCACAUGACUUCUCAGUAAGAAUUGGUGAUGAAAGUGAAUUGCACAUUGGGGGCUGGUCAGGAAGAGAGUGAUUAUCCUUCAAUGGGUCCGAGACUUGUAAAAGACUUCCAACCUUUCCUUCCCCGGAGUUGACAUCUGCAGCUGUAGUCAAAGUAGAAAACUGACAGCCUCCGCCAUUGCUUUUCAUAUCUUCAUCAUCACUCUUGGAAAGGGCACUACCAUCAUUUUGAAUGGAGUCUAAGCUCCCAUCAACAAUUUUACAUUCUUUAUCUGCUGCUGUAUCCAUACUCCCAAAUCCCUCACAAUCGCCUGUUUUACUUCCUUCAUCAGAGGCAGCUCUUACCUCCUGAGGAACUAAACAGCGCUUAUUCAUUAACAACAGCUCUCUGUCAUACUGCCCAUUCAAUACAUCAGUCAAUAGUAAUGAAUCAUCCCGCUUUUGACUUAUCCUCCAUACUCGGAAAUCAGGUGGAAAACAUCCACUUGUACUCCAUUUACGCAGCUCCACCAUUGAGAAUGGUCCUUGAACCCUUCCAGCUGGAUCCUGAUAGUGCCACACACGUUCGGUCUCAAAAUCAAUACUAGGUUGCACCUGCCCCGGAGAAUUUGACANNNNNUUAAUUAAUUAANNNNNGACAAACAGAGAGGCUGAAAUAAAAAUCACUGACACAAAGAAGUGAAACCUCAACCAAUCCAAAGAAACAUAUUGAUAUCUAAAAGUAAAUGCAAAUCUUUCAAAUUUAAUCACUAUGCACAAUCAUUAUUGUUGAUUAACUUGCAUGCAAUAAAUAAGAACACCCAGAGGUCAUGGUUCUCCGGUCAGAAAAAUGGUGACUAGUAUCGUACCAUAAGCCUAACUAUACAAGUUUUAAAAUAAUUCAGAAAUCCAGACUGCUACAUGGCACAGCAAAAGAUAUAUUUCAACUAUAAUUUACCCCAAAAGGCCAAAAACUAGGAGAAACGAGCAUAACAUAUUCUAAUAAACACUGAACAUCCUAAAAGCUAAUAGAAACUAACUGAAACAGCCAGCAAAAGGGUUACACUAAACUACCAGCAUAAGAUCAGAGAUAGACACUAAGAUUUUGUAUGUUUGCUGAAUAAGCGAACGAAAAAUAAAGUAAGCAAAGUACCAAACCUCAAAUUUCCAAUUAUCCAAGACCCCAUCAGCCACAUCAUGGCACACAAGUGACCUUAAAACCGCAAAAAGGCUUCAACUGAGCUAAAAACGCAAAAACCUCUUAGCUAUAAGUCAAAUAAAAUUUUAUACCAAGAGAAAAACCUUUUAGCUAAGUCAAAUAAAAUUUUAUAUCAAGAGAAAAACAACUUUAAUGUUUCAUUUGUCUUUCUCAUUUCUCAGCUACCAAACAAUAAUUUCCCAGAUCUGUCCCUCACUACUUAAUCAUGCAUGCAAGCCCCAAAAUGUCACAGAAAUUAAAGCAACCCAUAAAAAAACUGUACCCAGAAACAGCAGAUAUCAAUAGGAUUCAAAAUCAGCUGUGAAAUCAAAUAAGAUUCCAAAAGAAUCGAAAUCCCACGUGAACUUACUUCAUCAAAAUCCCCCCAUAUAUUCAAUAAAUAGAAAAAAAAAAACACAAAAAUUAUUAAAAAAAACUGAAGGUAGCCAAAUUGAAAAAAGGUAAAAAUGAAGAAGCAAAUAAGGAGAAAUAUACCUGAAUUGGUGACAAGCCGAUUAAGAACAAACCCUAGGUCAAAGAGAACUGUAAUAGUUACUGAGAGAGAGAGAGGGCAUUACAAGUGGAUUUGUUUGGUACAGGUUAGUGUAAGAAUCGUUCAAACACCACUUCCACUUUUGUGUUUCUUAUUAUUAUUAUUAUUAAUUUUUUUUUUACUUUAUAAUUUGAGCAUGUGAUUGUCAUGGAGAUUCUUUUUGACGUUUGACUCGCACAUUUUUCUUUUUCUUUUUCUUUUUAAAAAUCAAUAAAUUCAUUUUUUUUUUUUUUAAGAAAUUCAAACAAGAAAGAAGUUGAAGGAAUUAAUCAAAUUACAUUAUUCUUAAUUUUUUUUUUUUUUUGCUUUCAGAUUUAUGUUUUUUACUAUCUAAGACCGCUAAAAGAUUGCUUUAAUGUGAGUGUUGACUAUUUUACCUUUUAAAAGUAUCAAAGUACCACAAAAUCUUUUAAAUUCAAUACUUUUUUUCCCCUAAAAUUCAACAUUUCAAAUAAUCUGUUAGUACCAUACUUUGUUAGCAUGAUUGUUAAUCUUUUGUUAAACUAACAAAAUGUCUACAUGACAUGAUAUCUUAUGAUACUUGUUGGGUUGUCACAUUUAUACUAUUUACACAUGGGAUAUAUUUAAAAAUAAAUUAUAUAUUAUUAUUAAUUAUUAAUAUUGAAUAAAUAUAAUGCUAUUAAAAUUAAAUAAAUAUGGUAAUAUUAUAUUAAAAUAAGUAUAAUAUUACUAUUUUUAAUAAAUGUAAUAUUAUUAAAUAAUAUAAUAAUAAUAUUAUUUAUUAUUUUUAAAUAAACGUAGCAUUAUUUUAUUUUAUUUUAAUAAUUAUAAUUAUAUUAUAUUUAAUAAGNNNNNUUAAUUAAUUAANNNNNAUAUAUAUAUAUAUAUAUAUAUAUAUAUAAAUAUAUAUAUAUAUAUAUAUAUAUAUAUAUAUAUAUAUAUAUAUAUAUAUAUUAAAAGCUGAAAAAAAUCACAAAAUACAAAAUGAAUUAACUUUAAAAAACUAAAAAAAAAUGAAAUCGAAUUACGCUAGAAUUUGAAUGAGUUGGAAUUGGAAUGAAGAAUGAGAAUAAGAAUAAAUUGUUUACUUAUAGUGCAUUUACUUCUCAGAUUGGGGAAUCGGAAUCCGGAAUCGAAAUGAUCGACGGCGUUUACUUCGCAAAAAUGGAGUAAGAAUUAGAAUUGGAAUCGUGGGGCCCACCACUAUUUGGGAAUGAGGAAUGAGAGAUUGAUUCCCAUGGGCGAAGGUGGGAAUCAAUCUCCCAUUCCCUAGAGUUCCCAUUUUGCCGCCAUUGACAUUCAAAUUUUCUUAAAAUGCCCCUCCUUUAAAUCAAAAAUAUAAAUAUAAAAAAUAAAAAAGCCAAACAUAUAAUUAAUUAAUAUAUUAUUAUAAUUAAUUAAUUAAUUAGUAUAUUAUAGUUAAUUAAUAUAUAAAAUAAUAAUUAUGACAAUAAUUUAUUUAGUAUUUUUUAAUAAUUUAUUACAAUCUAACUUAUUCUGAUUCUGAUUACAAGACAAAGUAAACAUAUUUAUGACAAUUUAGCUCAUUUCCUACAGUUCAAGUAAAUAAUUUAUUCUGAUUCUCAUUUCUUAUUUCUAUUCCAACUCAUUCUCAUUCCUGCACAUUCUGAUUUCAACUCAUUCUGAUUCUAGUUUAGUAAACGCAUAAUUAACUUAUAGGAAUCUGAAUUAAAAUGAGCUUGUAAUUUAAUUUUGUGGAAAUAGCAUUUCCCAUUGCCCAGGAAUUUUCAAAAAGUUUUGGUGGCUUAAAGAUAAUUUAUUCGUCGGAUUACGAGACGGGAGCGGACCAAAUUUGUAUCCUAUUUGCAGCUCCGGGACGUGGAUCCGGCCGGAGCACUGUUUGCGUCACUGAAACUGCAACAAUAGAUUUCAUCCUCAGCAAAAGAGGGAAAGGAAAAAAAAACGAAUAAAAUUUAAAUCACAGUCUUCAGUUUUUGACCCAGAAAUUAAAAUUCGCGAGAAAAUGAUGGUAGAUGUACAAUUCAUUUGGUUUCAAAAGUUUGGCGGCGAUGCUGUUGUUUUUUAUUCUCUCCAUUUCGAUUUCGUACAGAGCGUCAGCUGAGACAACCAUGCACACUAACAAUUGGGCUGUCUUGGUUUGCACUUCUCGCUUCUGGUAACUAAAUCACCUUCAUUUUUAUUUUAUUUUAUUUUUUGCAGUUUUUAUAAUUUUUUUUCCCGAUUUUGAUUUGAUUUGGGAAGAAUUAACGCUUUGCCAUUACAUUAUAAAUUAUACCCAUGUAACAAUGUUGAUGAUAAACAAUACCCAUGUUACAAUUUCUCUUUCUUGUGAUUGUAAUUUCUGAGUUUCAGCUAAUAUUACUGCAUUCUUGUUGAUAAGCUUGAUUCUUUAAGUUUUUUAUUGCUUGGAUUCAUAAAGUUACUAGAUACUUGAGCCAUAAUUAAGUUUAUGGUUCUCGUUAUUGAAACCUUGUGCUGGAUACUUGUUUCUAGCAUUACAAGCCAUGUCAUCUACCAGCAUAAGUAUUAUCCUCUCAUCGGGUAUUCCUAGCCGCUUAACUGUUCUGAAAAAUCAAGUUAAAGUGCACAGUCGACAAAUGAAAACAGGAGGGAAGAGAAAUGCAAAUUACUUCACAAGAUGAUGUGAAAACAACAAGCUAAUUGCUUGCCUAUAUAAGGAUAAUGUGUUAGCCAUAUGCCGAUAAUUGAACCUGAAAAAACCAAUUCAGCAAUUAAUUCAAUUGGCAAAGGACAUGGAAUCGGUUUUUAGUUCAUCAAAACAAUGCCAUUUGACNNNNNUUAAUUAAUUAANNNNNCGAUGCCCCCGGAUCGCUGGUCCCGUGGGACGAAACGGAAACGGAAUCGCGGGCCCCGAUCAUUAGUUACGGCCCCUUCUUUGCGGUCCCCGAGGCCGUGCGCUAAAGCCCCCCGGGCGCCCCCGCCGCCGACCGCACCCGCCCAAACCCGAUCACCUCACCCGCCGUGUGCCGAUCCCGCCCCGCGGUCCCCCCCGGGGCAUGAACCGCCCCCCGGGGGGCCGAAACCGGCAAAACGGGCCAAACGGCCCCGAUCUUACCCGUUUUUCGGCGAUCAAACCGCCGCACGGCUCCCCCCCCAUCCCGAUGCCCCCGGACCGCUGGUCCCGUGGGACCAAACGGAAACGGAAUCGGAGGCCCGGAUCAUAAGUUACGGCCGAAACCGGUAAAGCCUACUUAGCGGCCCCCGAUCUUGCCCAUUUUUCGCCGUUCAAACUGCCGCGCGGCUACCCCCCCAUCCCGAUACCCCCGGACCGCUGGUCCCGUGGGACGAAACGGAAACGGAAUCACGGGCCCCGAUCAUGAGUUACGGCCCCUGAGGCCGUGCACUAUAGCCCCCCGGGCGCCCCCGCCGCCGACCGCACCCACCCGAACCCGACCACCUCACCCGCCGUGUGCCGAUUCCGCCCCGCGGUCCCCCCCGGGGCAUGAACCACCCCCGGGGGGCCGAAACCGGCAAAACGGGCCAAACGGCCCCGAUCUUACCCGUUUUUCGGCGAUCAAACCGCCGCACGGGUCCCCCCACCCAUCCCGAUGCUCCCGGACCGCUGGUCCCGUGGGACCAAACGGAAACGGAAUCGGAGGCCCGGAUCAUGAGUUACGGCCGAAACCGGCAAAGCCUACUAAGCGGCCCCCGAUCUUGCCCAUUUUUCGCCGUUCAAACUGCCGCGCGGCUACCCCCCCAUCCCGAUGCCCCCGGACCGCUGGUCCCGUGGGACGAAACGGAAACGGAAUCGGGGGCCCCGAUCAUGAGUUACGGCCCCUUCUUUGCGGCCCCCGAGGCCGUGCGCUAUAGCCCCCCGGGCGCCCCCGCCGCCGACCGCACCCGCCCGAACCCGACCACCUCACCCGCCGUGUGCCGAUCCCGCCCCGCUGUCCCCCCCGGGGCAUGAACCGCCCCCCGGGGGGCCGAAACCGGCAAAACGGGCCAAACGGCCCCGAUCUUACCCAUUUUUCGGCGAUCAAACCGCCGCACGGCUACCCCCCCAUCCCGAUGCCCCCGGACCGCUGGUCCCGUGGGACCAAACGGAAACGGAAUCGGAGGCCCGGAUCAUGAGUUACGGCCGAAACCGGCAAAGCCUACUAAGCGGCCCCCGAUCUUGCCCAUUUUUCGCCGUUCAAACUGCCGCGCGGCUACCCCCCCAUCCCGAUGCCCCCGGACCGCUGGUCCCGUGGGACGAAACGGAAACGGAAUCGGGGGCCCCGAUCAUGAGUUACGGCCCCUUCUUUGCGGCCCCCGAGGCCGUGCGCUAUAGCCCCCCGGGCGCCCCCGCCGCCGACCGCACCCGCCCGAACCCGACCACCUCACCCGCCGUGUGCCGAUCCCGCCCCGCUGUCCCCCCCGGGGCAUGAACCGCCCCCCGGGGGGCCGAAACCGGCAAAACGGGCCAAACGGCCCCGAUCUUACCCAUUUUUCGGCGAUCAAACCGCCGCACGGCUACCCCCCCAUCCCGAUGCCCCCGGACCGCUGGUCCCGUGGGACCAAACGGAAACGGAAUCGGAGGCCCGGAUCAUGAGUUACGGCCGAAACCGGCAAAGCCUACUAAGCGGCCCCCGAUCUUGCCCAUUUUUCGCCGUUCAAACUGCCGCGCGGCUACCCCCCCAUCCCGAUGCCCCCGGACCGCUGGUCCCGUGGGACGAAACGGAAACGGAAUCGGGGGCCCCGAUCAUGAGUUACGGNNNNNUUAAUUAAUUAANNNNNAUCCCAUCCCAUCCAUAUUUUUUUCUUUUUUCUUUUUAAUUUUAGUUUUAUUUUUUAAAAUUAUUAGUGAAUAAAUAAUCAAAUUUAAAUUGUACAAUAUUAAAUAUUGGUUUAAAUAAUAAAUAUCAAAAUAUUUAUAUUAUUAAAUUUUUAGACCUAAUUGAAUGGUUGUAGUUUAAAUUUUUAUUCAGAACAUUAAAAAUACUAGACAUGAUCCUAUUGGCCCAAUUUUUUAUUAUAAUAUUUAUUAAAUAUUUUAAUUUUUUAUCUAAUAAAAUAAAAGUUAAAGUAAAAUUGUAAAACAUAAUUUCUGAUUUUCUACAGCAACCGUUUUAUCUCAACUUUUAUUUAAAUUUUUUAUUUUAAUAUAAUUAAAUUAAAAUAAAAAAAUUAAAAACGUAUUAAUUAUUUAAAAAUCAAAAACCUCGUGAAUAUCCUAUUAUUAUUCAUGAAGGGGACAAAAACUCCUUCAAAUAAUUAUGAACAAGGACGUAUGUAAAAUAUCAAGAAUGAGUAUAGAGACACUCAUCCUUGAUAGCCACACUCUUUUAAUUUUUAUUAAAAUUACUUAUCGGAUAUAGUUACUAAUAUUUUUUAAAGGGGAUAUAAUUACUAAUUAAACCCUCACCGAAAAGUAAAAAAUUUUCUGUUUCGCGGCAAAACUGCACCAAACACCUUGAUUGGCUUUUAUGGCUUAUUUGGCUGACGGUGGCGACGACCCACCGUUGCGGACACUCACUAAACAACAAUGACGCCGUCUACUCCCAUCCAAACCACCGCCACGUGCUUUAACCCGAAAACUAUUCCACACUCUAACCCACCGCCACUAUACAAAAACAACUACCAUUCAACUGCCACACUACCGCCACACCAACAGCCACUACAAAAUCGAACCGCCACUCCUCCACAUCAAGCUGAUCUAACCAAUCCCACCUUUGACGGGAGACGCAAAUCUUUCACGCCACCAGCCCCCACAAAACUGGCCUAAUAUGCACGUUCCCCAUCAAGCCGACUAGGCGACUACACUCACGAGCCGACCACACCCAAGUCGAGCCACCAUCAUUGCUGCCUCGUCAAAAAUCGAUCCAAUUGAAAUAAUCUACAAGCCAUGCACAUGGUUGCCAGUACACUGAAUUAUGCCAAUAAUGCUUAAAACAAACAAACAAACAAACAAAAAUUGGUUGAGGAAUGUGAACAAGAGGAUACUAAAGAAUGGCGUUGAUUUACAGGAAUAAGUUUCAAUUGAUUUUUUUUUUUUUUAACGUAACUAGUAAAAACACGUUGUAUUAUUUUUAAACGUUUUAAUGAGAUUAGUAAAGAAAAUAGAUUUUAAGAGGCAUUUAGAGGGGUGGCAAUAAUGUAAGUCCAUCUAGGAAUGGGCAGGUCUUAUUGAAUUGUCGAGGCCCAUAUUGAACUUUCUUGCAUCCAACCUGAAAACCAAGACCACCAACAAAACGGCACCGUAGAAUGAAUUUCGCUCGCACAGCCUUACGCUCAAGCUUCUAGAUUCUUCUUGCCAAACGUACCUCGUGGUAUAAUCGAUUGCACAGUUCAUUAAAGCUGCUAAAAUCCGGUCAACUCGGGUCACGUACCGCGGCACCGCCCUAUCACCCGUGUUCUCUAUCUACUAUCUAGACCAAAGAAGACUUCUUUUCUUACUCCCAAAGGCAUUCCGCAUUCGUUAAGAGACCCGAGCCAAGCCUUUCUUCAAAAAUAACCCCCCUUCCCCAACCAACGACAAUAAAUAAAUAACACUCAAAUCGGCGCCGCCGUAUUUUUCCCGUCGUCUUUGCACUCUAAUUUAAUUUCAGAUUUCUGCAACUAAAGGUUCCUCUCGUGUUUUCCAUUUUUCCUGCUCUUAUCUCUCUUGAAUACUUUGUAUCUGUUUUUUUUUUUUNNNNNUUAAUUAAUUAANNNNNUGAAAAAAGGGAGAAAGGGCUCUGCUACAAUUGCGACCAGAAGUGGAGCCACUCUCAUAGAUGCCGUAGUAAGUUUCUGCUUCUUUUAGGAACAGAGGACGUUGACGAGGCGAUGGGUCCACCAAUUAAUUCUGAGAUCUCAGAUGUUGUUGAGGAAACUAUUAUAGCUGGUGAUAUCUCCAGUUUAAAUGCCUUAGCGGGCCAAAAUACUCCUCGCUCUCUACGACUCCUUGGUGAAAUUAAUCAACAGCCCGUGCAAGUACUUAUCGAUAGUGGUAGCACUCAUAAUUUUAUUAAACCCGCUGUGGCUGAAGUUUUGGGGUUAGCAGUACAAGACACUACCACAUUCCGGGUAUAUAUCGGUAAUGGUGAUUCUUUAGUUUGUCGAUAUGUUUGUUCCCAAGUCGCCUUAUCUAUGCAAGGCCAUGUUUUCUACAUCGACCUUUAUGUUCUUCCUAUUGAGGGACCGGAUAUUGUCCUCGGAAUUCAAUGGUUACAGCUGCUUGGCAAAGUCUCUCAUGACUAUGCGGCAUUGUCAAUGGAAUUUUUCUAUAAUGGCUCUCCUGUCUUCCUGCGAGGUGAUCUCUCAUUGUCUCCACGACCGAUUUCUUUUCAUCAAUUACAAGCCCUCAUGUCCCAUGAUCAAAUCCACGGCCUCUUUGAAUUUUUCCAGUUGCAUACUACUACAGACGCGCAGGAUACCCUCUCUGUUCCAACCACUGCUACUAAGUUUGACUUCCCACCCGAUUUGCCUUCCCCUGUACUUGCCCUUCUUCAUCAAUAUGAGCAAUUAUUUCACACUCCAUCUUCUCUACCUCCUCAUAGACUUAUUGACCAUCACAUUCAUCUCCUCCCAAAUACUAAACCUGUCAAUGUUCGCCCAUACCGUUAUCCUCACUUCCAAAAGGCCGAAAUGGAGAGACUAAUUACAGAAAUGAUUGAUCAAGGCAUUAUUCGCCCAAGUCAGAGCCCAUUCUCUUCACCUGUGUUGCUGGUUAAAAAGAAAGAUGGCUCCUAUCGUUUUUGUGUAGAUUACCGAGCCUUGAACGCAGUAACAAUUAAAGACAAAUUUCCGAUACCAACUAUUGAUGAGUUAUUAGACGAGCUUGGUGGUGCUUGUAUUUUCAGUAAGCUAGAUUUGCGAGCGGGGUACCAUCAAAUACGAGUAUGUGAUAGAGAUAUUUAUAAAACAGCUUUUCGGACUCAUGAUGGGCAUUUUGAGUUCCUUGUCAUGCCUUUUGGACUCUCUAAUGCCCCUUCCACCUUUCAAGCAACAAUGAAUAGGCUCUUUGCUCCUUAUCUCCGUAAGUUUGUGAUCGUUUUCUUUGACGAUAUCUUAGUGUACAGCACUUCUCUAGAAGACCAUUUUGAGCAUUUACAUAGAGUAUUUGAUUGUCUUCAUACUAAUCAUUUUUUUGUGAAGCUCUCAAAGUGUUUUUUUUGCCAAGAUAACAUUGAAUAUCUCGGCCAUAUUGUUUCCUCUUCUGGAGUUAAGGCUGAUCCUCGCAAGUUGGUGGUCAUGUCUAAUUGGCCUACGCCGUCUACGACAAAACAAUUGCGAGGAUUCUUGGGUCUCACAGGCUACUAUCGUCGCUUUAUUAAAGGAUAUGCUUCCAUUGCUGCCCCUCUCACAGAUUUAUUACGGAAGGAUGGUUUCCAUUGGUCCUCCGCAGCUGACACGGCCUUCGCUGCCUUAAAACAAGCUAUGAGUGCAGCACCAGUCCUUCGCUUGCCAGAUUUUCAAUUGGAUUUUGUUAUUGAAACGGAUGCCUCGAAUGUUGGUAUUGGAGCCGUACUGAUGCAAGCUGAUCAUCCUAUUGCUUAUUUUAGCCGAAAAUUGGGUCCUCGCAUGCUUGUCGCUUCUACUUAUAUCAAAGAACUUCAUGCCAUNNNNNUUAAUUAAUUAANNNNNUUUUUGCAAUGCUUCUGUGAUUCUUUGCUGGUGAUAAUCGUUAGAUAUUCUAGCCUCCUCAGCUUGGUGCUUUUGACUCAUUCAAUGUUUAAAUUGAGCUUUCCUUAUUUCCUACCUCAAGGUUUCUAGACUUCCCACCUAAUAGUAUUCGUCCCUGCCUUCGAGAGAUAUGAUGUCCUCUUUUAGAGACUCUAGCCCCCUUCGAGGGGGUAUCAUUGAUUCCUAUAUCAACACAGGCCCCCAGUUCAUGAUAAGAGUUUUUGAAAUUUAAAAAUCUCUUAUUAUGAACUAAGAAUUGGAGUGUUUUCAUUUGAAUCUAAAAUUCAAAAUUGAAUAUUACUCUAGGGAUACGUAUCGUUCCCAACCUUAAAUCAGGCAUCUGGGCAAAUCAGAAUGUGUUUGAAUUGCCGAUAUUAUAGAUUUGCUUGAGUUUUGGUUCCAUCCAUUACAAAUAUAUAAUUUAAACCAUUGUUUCUGAAGUACAGAACAAUUAUCAUUGCUGCAAUUUUCUUUUGAGAAAAACAAAAUAUUAUACUGUGGAGCCAAAUUUAGACUUCGAUUUGCCCAUUACUACUGGGGAGGCCUCAGAUAAUUUACAUGGAUUAUAGCAUGAUAUGCACCAGAUUCUUUAUUUGGUAAAGAGAUUAGUGCAACACAGUCAUUGUAGAUAUAUAAUAAAAAAACUUUAAUGAUAUUAGAAAAGACUUAAGAGGACUAAUGCAUUGUUUACUGCAUCGUGUAAAUCUAAAAAUAAUAUUGAUUAAAAAACAGGUGAAAACGUUUUGUACGCUUACAGCCAUCAGAAACAAUUUUUUUGUGAAAUAUUGGCUCCACCAUUUUUAAGUAAUAAAUUGUACGAUGACCACGUAAUAAAGAGUAGAAAUUAUCUAACUUUGACUUUGUAAAAUUUCGAAAAUACUAUUUUAGAGUUGGCAAAUUGCAGGCUUGGAAUAAGUUUUUUUCAAGCACACUCCUAAAAUCAUAUUAUUAUUAACAAGUCUAAAUUCUUUAAAAGUCUGUCUAAAUUGGGUUUUUCAUUAAUGUUGAAAUAAAUUUUCAACCAAAUAAAAAAAUUAAAUUAAAGAUGAUUAUUCAAUACUUAAUAAAAUAAUAGUUCAAUAUACAAAAUAUUUACAACACAACGUAAUAAAUGACAAAUACUAAUAUAAAAAAACUAAUCUAAUACUUUAUUUUUUUUAAUUUGAUUUAUCUUUUUAUUUAUAAAUUAGCCUACAUUUUUUUCUUAGGCCCUUAGUCAGACUCAAUCUAUGCAGACUUUAUAUUUUUAGUUUAUAUCCUUUAUUUUAAUACAUAGACCAGACCAGACCAGCCUAGACUAUUUUGUCAAUCAUAAUACUAUUACAUUAUAUCAUAUAAUAGUUAAAUAUCAUUAUAUUAUUGUAUCAUAUGGUAUAAUAAUCUUUUUGAACAGUAAUAAAGUCUAGAAUCCAAGAUAAGAUUAGCACUCAAUAAAGAUGAGAGAGGGGAACAUCACAAAACCAAAUAUUCUAGGUCAAAAUGGAUUACCAAAAACACAUGGAUUAGGAAAAAAAAAAAACAUAAAUGUGUACAAGUGCUAACUUUUUUAGAGUUCCUAAAAUCCCAAAUGCGACACCCAAUUAAACGAGGGAGACACACCCAAACUGCCACGAAAUCACGCAUGGCCCAUGUCUGUUUAGCCCCACAUUAAGGGACAGUGAAAGAAAUUUUUCCUCUUAUAUGGGUUCGGGUGGGGAUAUUAACAGUCCCGCACUGUAUCAACUCAUUGACAUCCUUCGUUUCAGGAGGCUCCUAAAUUCUUGUGUUUUACAUAAUAACACAAGGGAAAUGAAAAAAAAUUCUCCUAUUAUUUAAUUAAAUGAAUAAUUUUUUUUUCAUGUUUGAAAANNNNNUUAAUUAAUUAANNNNNAUAUUUCAUUUUUCAACAGGUGAUGUAAGAUAAUUUUACCUUUUUAAUUUUCCUUGGGAAUUUUAUAUCUUGUAACUUGUGAUUGGAAGAUAAAAAUGAUGUUAUAUAUUUACUAUUACUUCCAUGUCGUGGAUGUAAUGGCUAUUCCCAAAGCUCAAUUGAACCAAGAACACAAUCUUGAAGGACCCAAGAGCAGAUCCCAAACAAGAAGUGACAGAAAGCUUAACAAGAAUCAAUGAUCAAACAAUGAACAAAACAAAGAAUCAGUAAAGAAGAAAACUUAGAGCAAGAGUGUUCAAUGAUUUGAUUACAUUUGUGUUUAUUUCUGUGGAUGAUUUCAUUCCUAUUCUUGCCAUUCAUUUUUAUGAUUUUUUUUUUUUGUUUUGUGUUGACUCAACGGAACAACCAACAAGUACCCAGCCCUGCAACCGUAUUUAUUUGUCAUGAUUUGAUUAAGCAGAGCAACUAAUACUUCAAAUCUUAUCACUGUUGUAUUAGAGGCUUCACGUACUAUGAAUAAUUAGUGACGAUCUAGCCUAUAAACCAAAGUUUAACAUAUCUGCAUAUAACUGAAUGAAAAUCUUAUGUAUUAUAUUCACUCCAUCAAGUAUGAAGCAUAUAAUCAAUUGAUCUACAAGCACUAGACAUAAAAAAAUCGAAUGGUAGAAUAGAAUAUACAAGCAUCAGCAUUAGAUGACAGGAAAAGAGCUCAUUAAUAAAUUAUAUGAGUGAUAAUACUACUUGAAUCAAACUCACGUCCCCAGUUGAGAAGAGUUAAAUUAAAUAAUACUUUGGUGAUUUCAUGUGCGUAAAAUUAUAAAUUUAUAACCAGACUUUGUAAAGUUAAUGUGAAAAUGCAUCACAGUUGUACUUAUUAUCUUUUUUCUUUUUUUCUUUUCCAAUUAGUCUAAUACCAGUGGCGUGGCCUCGUGGGUCCUCAAAUUAUUCAAAUGGGCAUUUCAUCGAACAGUGGAUAUACUCGGCAUGUGCACUUGGAAGACGCGUUCAAAAGCUCUAAAUCAUGUUAAAGUCGACCAAAAAGACAAAACAUAGAAAGCCACAAUCCAACAACUAGGUAAAAAUAUUCGCUGUCACAAAUGGUUGCGUUAACGUGUAUAUUUGGGACAUCAAAUAUAAACAAAGACCAUGUGAAAAAGAAAAGCAAAAAGCUAGAAAUAAGAAAAAGGGAGCACAGUGAAAGAUCUGCAAAGAAGGUUUAGGACAACGAUUAUUAUGAAAACGGGACCAGAAGACGUAUAAGGGAUUUCGGAGAAUUUGAGAGAAGUGGGAUGAUUAAGAAAAUGCAGGAGCAGGACAUUCAUGACCUCUAUCAGUAAUUUGAUUUCGUGAAUCAUUUUCAAAAAGAAAAUAACGCACACAAUUGGAGACUAGGCGAUGAUAAUGAAAGAUCACAUAACCUACUUAAUAAUUUAUACGCAUUAAUGCGGAAUCGACAAUUCUAAAUCAUGUUAAAGUCAACCAAAAAGACAAAUCAUGGAAAGCGGCAAUUGCUAUAUUGCGUUGCGUAUAUUUUGGGAUCAUCAAAUACAAACAACCACCACGUUAAAAGAAAAGCAACAGCUGACGAGAUUGGUAAAGAUAUAUCAAAAGAAAGACUAAUAGAGCUUUCCCAGCAGCAUUAAUCAUGAUUAUUUGAUAAAAUAGAGGUAAUAAAUGAUUAUAUUUUUGGUGGAAGACAGAACAGAGUACGUUACAAGAGCUGAUUGCUUUCUUAAUUUUUUUUGUCAAUAUUUAACCAAAAAUACAAUUCAAUGAAAAAAUUGAAAAUAAAGCACCAUCAAGUCAACCUUGGUGCAGAAAAAUAUUAACAUUUAAUGAACAUAGAGGGAUGAGUUGGGCCAAGUCUUUAAAUCAGCUCUGUCGUGGNNNNNUUAAUUAAUUAANNNNNAAAUUUGCGUGGAUAGGCUAUAAGCUAGUAUACAAAUUGAUACAGUAGUCAUACCAUUGUCACAACAAGAGGUUAUUUAUAUUCAUGUAGUUCUAAGAUUUUCACUUGAAAAUGCAUAUUGACUACUGACUAAUAAUUUUCUUUAAUUGGUCAAACACAACAUAUAUCAAUUAAAAUUGGUACUGCAUUUAGUUUCUUCUGUUUCUUUUACAUGUCACUCCAGCCAAUAUUUGGUUUGCUUGUGCUGUUAGUCGUAAGCUUGUGCUGAACUUUGAUUUCUUUCUUUUAAUAGCUUGCAAUAUUUGGUUCGAUGGUCUGAAUAAGACCUGAAUAUUAAUUGAGCCUUUUGCUGUUAGUUGUACGCUUGUGCUGAACUUUGAUUUAUUAUGUAAUCAAAUAAAGUUGUUGUUGAAGCAACAGAUUUGAUGAUGAGUGUUUCAAAGUUUUCCAACUUUUGUCCUUUUUUUUUUAAGACAGCCUGAGAGAUUAAGCAUGCUAGGCCCAUUUAUUAUUGUUUUUUGACCUUUUUCUUUUUUCACAGUAUUGAUUAUCCAAUUUUAGCAAUUCUUUAGUUAGAAUUUAGUUUUAAGAAUAUUUAAUGUCUCUUACAAUUUAACGUCUCUUACAAUUUAAAUACAAUCUUUUUUCCAGCUCUGUAUACAUGGAUAUAGAGGCUGUUGUAAGAGGUGACUUGCUCACUGUUGCAUCAGUGAUACCAGAACAGUACAGCUUAAAGAAGUUGUGGGCUGAUAUCAGGGAUUUAUGUUUUGAUCAGCCUAUUAAGCAUGCUACUGAAGUCAGAUUUCAAGUUAUGUUACCUUGGGAGACGAGUUAUGCCACCUUGAAGACAGAAACUGAUUUGCAAGAUGCAUUCAACAAGUUAAGGGAGAAGAAAUAUAGUUGGGCCAUCUUCAUAAUCAAAACUGAACUAGAUGAGUUGGAAAAAGACAGAGGCGACUCAGGGUUGCCUAAAGAUAGAAACGAUGAAGAUGAAAGCCCAGUUGCACAGUUUAAAGUUCUAUUGCCACCUGAACCAGAUGUGGAGUGGGUUGACUUUGAUGAGGACAAGGAGUUUGCACUUUCUGAUUUAAAUGAUGAAAGCAACACUGUCGAUUUUGCAGCUGCAACUCACAUAGUGCAAGAUUCAUAUGAAAGCAUGGCAGCAGUAGGGCUUGAUGACAACACACAUGAUGAAGAAAUAGAAGCUGAAAAAAAUAUAGAUGAUAUGGACGUUGGCAGUGAAGGAGACCUGAAUCAGUUUGAAGUUGAUGUGCUUGAUGAUGCUUUAGAUGACUAUCAUUCUGGAGAUGAUAGUGGUACUGAAUCAGAUGACAAUGAUAGUGGGGAUGCUCAAGAAGCUUGCUGUAAAUAUGAACAAAACUCGGGGGGUUUUGAGUUUGCAGCUGACGGUGAGAAAAUUAUACUUAAGCCUGGUCAACUGUUCAAGAAUGUGGAUGAAUUCAGGAAGGUUGUCAAGGUAUUUGCGAUAAAAAAUGGCUUUAGACUUAAAAGAGUAAAGAAUGAGAAGUCAAGAGUUACUCUUUGUUGUGCUGUUGAGGGUUGUACAUGGAGGAUACAUGCAAGUCCAAACUGGAAUAAGAGGCAUUUCCAGAUCAAGACACACUGUUCAGAACACACUUGUGCAAGAAAUAGUGAAAACUAUGAGGCAACCUCAACCUGGAUAGGUAUUACCUUUCUUCAUUUAUUUAGAGCUAACACUGAGCUGCCAAUUGAUGUGCUUAGAUCAGAGUUGUUUAGAAAAUAUGGGAUAACAUGUUGUAAUCAGAGGCUGUAUAGAGCCAAAAACAAAGCUUUAGAGUUUUUGGGCCAAGAUCAUAAAGCAAGCUAUACGAAAUUGUUCAGAUAUAUGCAUGCAAUUAUUGNNNNNUUAAUUAAUUAANNNNNAUAUAAACUAGUUCAAAUUUCAGUCAACCACAUAUCCACUCCAAUUUCAGAUGAAAAAAAGAACACCACCAAAGAUAAAAAUACAAAAAUGAAAAAUAUUUCCUCUACAAUAGUCUACAUAGGGAGAGGGGCUCUCUCACCAGUGCUUUGCCUAAAUAGAGAAGCUCUUGUAUGCUUUAAGAGGGGUAAAAGUCUAUUUAGUCAUUCUAUUUUAAAAUUGGUGUCCAUUUAGUCUCUGUAUUUUUAAAAAUACCUCAAAACAUCCAUGUCGUUAAAGUAUUGAUACCUUUACCGUUACUUUUCAUUUCUUUUAGCUUACUUUUAUAAUAUUACCCUUUUAUAAUAAUUUUUUUAGACAUUAAUAAAAAGAAAAUAAUUAAAUUACUAAUUUAACCCUAAAAAAUAAAAAAAUUAUAUUAAUUUUUUUGCAAGCACUGUUUGCACACUUGGUAGUUUGCAUACAAUUUUUGACAAUUAAAAAUUAAUAUAAUUUUUUAGGGUUAAAUUGGUAAUUUAAUUAUUUUAUUUUUAUUAAUGUCCAAACAAAAAAUUAUUAGUAAAGAGUAAUAUUGUAAAAGUAAGGCAAAAUAAAUAAAAAGUAACGGUAGGAGUAUCAAUACUUUAACGGUAAAGAUGUUUUGAGUCAUUUUUAAAAAUAUAUGGAAUAAACAAAUACUAAUAUUAAAAUAUUAAAGAGUAAAUGAGCUUUUACCUCUUUAAGAGUAUUGCUCCUUAUCUAUUUAUUGCUUACCACACGUAUAUUCAUAUUAUUAAGAUUAGUUUAAAUAUACACAUAUAAUAAAGAGUGAAUGAAAAAGAACCAAUACUCAUGUAGCGUCCAAGACUUUUCCUAGCUAAUAACAUAAAUUUAAAAUCAAAUUGAAAAUAAAAUUACUCUUGUUCAUACAACACUGCUUUUCAUUCAAUUGUUAACAACUCUUUCAAUGUUAAUAUUCGGAGAAUUUGAACUUUAGAAAUUUUUUAAAAAAAAAUUACUCCUGAUUAUGAUGCAAUCUUCAAUUGUUGCUUAAACCAAGAAACAAAACUCAUAAUAAACAUAAACAAUUCUUAACUUUUUUUUCAUUUUAAAUGCGAAUAAAAAAGUUAAGCCAUGACAAAUUGACAAUUAUGGACCCUUGUUAUGUAUCAGGACCUAACUUGAAACACACCAUGACGAAAGAUGCAGACGAUUCUCCGCAAUGGAUGACAAGCCACGGCAUUAAAGUUCGGCUUAUCUUCAAUUCAUUAAUGUAAAUUAUCUCUGAAUUCUUUUUAAAUUCAUCAGACGUCCGAAUUUCUUGCACCAAGAAUCUAUUUCUUUGGCACUAAAUUAUUGCAAGCACAAAACAUAACAAAGCAAGUUGAUGAUUGAAGGAGAUCUUUGAAGAAAAAGGUUUGUGCUGGCAACGUUUGAUAGGGUUGGCUGCUUGCCUCAUUUUCAUUACAAAUCAUAUAAAAUAAGAGUUCUAUAUAUAACACGUGUGAUAUUUUCUGUGGAGAUGUAAUUGAAUUUCUUAAUUCAAAAUUAUGCAUCACCAUCAUCAUCAACCCAUGAUUCUUUCAAUAUGUACAAAACACGGAGCAUUCUAAAACUUUGGCCUCUAAAUUAUCACACCAUAAUAUUGUGUGUCUUGUGAUAACAAUCGUUUUAGUGAUUUAGAAUGACAUUUUAUUGAAUAGAAUAUCAAAAUUUUAUUUUUAUUCGGUAACACAUUUCCUUGAGCCACAUUUUUUCUGCCACGCGACAAUGGAAUCUAAAUAAUUAUAGGAGAAGGCAUAUUAAGUGGCUCACAACCACGUUUGAUCGCAUACCACCACAUAUACACAAUGUCCUUUUUUUAAAACAUCAACAUAAAUUUAGUCUCACUAAAUAGAAAACAUUANNNNNUUAAUUAAUUAANNNNNUCAUCAUCAUCAUUAUUAAAAUUUAUUAAUUUUAUUGUUUUAAUUAAUAUUAUUGUCAUCUUUAUUAUUAUUAUUAUUAUUGAUUUUAUUUUAUUUUUACUCUUAUUAUUAUUAUUAUUAUUAUUAUUAUUAUAAUAAUAAUAAUAAUACAUACAUAUAAUAAUAUGGACAAUAAUAAACGAAGGACAUUUUAAUAAUUUAUAACAGUCUAUUCUGAUUUCAAAAUAAAGUAAACGUAUCAAUAGAAAUGCUGCUCAUUCCGAUCUCGAUUCCUAACUUAUUAUAAUUCUAAUUCUUUAUUCUUAUUCUAUCUCAUAUUGAUUCCAGUCUAUUUUAAUUUUUGUUUAGUAAAUGCACCAUAGGAGUAAUACUCUACUUUCUAAGCUAGAGAAAGUUUAGUCUUAUUGGUUCGAAUCUCCCAAGUUAAAUUUGGGAGUUUGGGUGCGAAUUCUAACUGACUCCUUUCUAUUGAUUUUAGGGUGAAACUAUUAUCCUUUUAAAUUUAUAAAAAUUUUGUGAGUGAUUUGUAAGGAUUAAUUCUAGUUUGUAUUUAUGAACUGCAUAGCAACUUGUAAGGACUAGAUUUUGGGUUGUAUAUCGGUUGAAGUGCAUUAAAAAAAAAUUUACUCUACUUUUUAAGUACUAGUCUUUUAACAUCGUCCAUCCUAAUUAAAGUCAUAUUCAUCCAUUAAUACUUAGUUUGAAGGUAUUGUAUUAAAUUAUCAUAUAGCAAGAUUUGAAAUUUGAUAUAUCCCCUUCACCCAACAAGUGACGCUACACUAGUAGGCUAGUUACUUCCAUAACUAUUUGUGAGAAUAGAUACACCUGUUUAUAUGUAUGAACAAAUAUUUUAUGAGUUUAAGAGUGUGUUUGGAAUAUAGGAUUAUAGGGUAUUAAAACGUCAUUCACAUUAAAUUGACAAUAAAAUUGUGAUUGACAAAAUUAAAGAACUCAUUGUAAUGCACCACAAUGUAUCAUUUAGGCGAAUAACACAAACCGAAACCAAGGGAACCUUAGGUUUGUGCAAUGCAAUGGCUUUUGCAUCAAUUGAGGCAAAUGCAUCUUAUUAUAAUAUUAUAAACAUAAAUUAUUUUAUUGUUAAAUAAUAAUGUAAUAAUUUUUUUUAUUAUAAUAUUAUUUUAUUUAAUAAUACUAUAUUUUAAAUACAAAAAAAUAAUAAUUAAAUAUAAUUACUAAUAAAUUUAAAUAAUAUUACUUUAAUAUUAAUAUGAUACAGUGUGAAAUUAAAGAGAAGAGAUAGAGAAAAUAUUAAUGAAAUUAGGAAAUAUCGGGCACCUAUAUCUCUAAGAUUUGGAGAAGUGGACAUGUAAAUUUCUAAGUUUUCAAUAAAGUACAUUAGAACUUUAUUUUAAUUAUAAUAUCUUUUGUAGAUACUAAUUUAAAAAUUGGCUUUAAAUUUUUUAAUUAAUUACACAUACAAUUUAAAUAUACUAAUUUGUCUAGUGGGCUAAUAAUAUUAGAAUAUUUUUUUAUAUAUCAAAUAAUUUUUAAAAUGUAAAUUUAUUAUAUUUAUUUUAAAUAAAUCUUUGGGUUAAAUAGAUUUUACAAUUUUUAAAAUAUAUUUCAUGUAUUAGAAAUAUUAAAAUUAUUUUAUAUAAUAUUAAAAUUAAAUAAUUUAAAUUUUUAUAUUUUUUUUAAUAUUAUGUUUCUAUUUAUUAUAAAAUGUAGUUUAAUAUAAUAUAAGAUUGUAAAUUAUUAAAAAAAAUUCAAUAUUGAACUUAUUUUAAAAUGUAUUUAAUUAUAUUUUAUUUAUUAUAAAAUAUUAGAGUUAAUUUUUUUGAGUUAAUACGACUAAAGAAUAUUAUAAUCAAAAGGCAGUCUUCGUAUCCCUUAUUAAGAAUUUGGGAGUUUACGUGAUNNNNNUUAAUUAAUUAANNNNNUAAAUUGCUUGGAGUGAUCUUGGGAGGAAGCUCAAUUUCCUAACAGUUUGAUCAAUGAGAAAAUGAGAGAAAAAUUCAGAGUUGAGAAUCAUUUCCAUAUGUUUCAUUAACAGAAUUUGUUUAGCUGUAUGAGUAUAUAUACAGCAGUCUCGAAUCUUCUACAGACUCAAAUGCAUGCGGCCAUUGUUAAAAUGGCUUGUAACUAACUCUAGCCAGGUCAGCUUCCACGUCGUUAUUGAUAACAAACUCAACUUAACUAACUAAAUUAAAGAUAACAAACUUUGCUAGCUAAUUAAGCUGGCUGGACGAACUGAUGAUUAAUUAUAUCAUAUUUAUCUUAACAUAAAUGAAUAAAAAACUGAAAUUGUAGAAAAAAAUAUAUCCGUAAAUCGAACCCCCAAAAAAAUAUAAGCAAGCAUUUUCUCAAAAUGGUACAAUGCCAUGAGAAUUCUUUAAAAAAAUAAUGAAUUGAUAUUUUUUUUUUCAAAAAGAAAAGCUAAUGAAUUGAUUUAUUAUAUAUAUUUAUAAAAUAUAAAAGCUAAUGAAUUGAUUAAUUACAUAUAUUUAUAAAAUAUGAAAUUUGUGCCUUAAAGAAACUAGUUCACCUGCUAUAUAUGUUUGUGUGUAUAUAUAGUUGAGAUAGAAGUUGGAAUCCAAAUAUUAAAAUUUCUAGUAAUAUUAUUUUGAAUCAGAUAAAUGAGCAAACAACCCAUUAAACUAUCUUUCACCAUAACGCAAAGAAUCAUAUAACACCUAAUAUUUUAAAAUAUUUUUGGAGUCAAGUUGGUUGCCUACAACUAUAUAUGGAGUAUUAACUAAAUGAAUUAAAAAUAUAGUUAAAAUACAAGUUAAAAUCCAAAAAUUAGAAUUCCUAACAUUAUCACUUUCAAUCACAUGAAUGAGCAAACUAUCUUUCGCCAUAAGAGCAAGUCACCAUACAACUAUCAGCACCUAAACCUCUCAAAAUAUUUUUGGAGUCAGUUUGGUUGUCAGCGACUGUGGAGCAUUAACUAAGGAAUUCGUACAGAUAGUGUUUUGAUUGUUGGUUUAUCUUCUAGGAAAUGCCUAUAGCUUAUUAAAUAGUUAAAAAAUGGAAGAAAAGGAAAACAAUCAGCAAACACUCAAUAAACUAAUUAUAACGCUUUUUACAUGUCCACAAUAUAAGGGCUGCCACGUCUUACAAGCAACUGAGAACGAGAAGAAACACACCGCCAGGAUUGAAUUGCGAGUAAGUAAUCAAUGCUAGUGAUUGGAACUUCUGUAGGUAUUAUUUUAUAAAUUCUUGAGGUACUGAAAUUUUUGGCUUUGUAGUAUUUUGAGGAGGUGUUUGUUCAUUUAUUUAGGAAAAAACUUAGAAUAUAAUUUUGGGAUGCUACCGCUAUUCUAAGUCUUUAAACUAAACAAUAAUCUAUAUCAUUAUUAGCUAAUUUUUCUUUCAUGUAUAGAGUAAUUUGGUAACAAUCUAAAUCAGCACAAGUUUGCUGGUCAAUUCUUCCAUUUAAUAGUAAUUAAAUUAGCUGGACAUUUUAUCGAGCUCCAUUGUGGGAAAUAAUGAAGCAUACAAUAGCACGUUAUUUUGCUUAGGCUCGAACAAAAUAAAUAUCUUAGUAUAUCUCAACAUAGAAUCAAAUUUCUGAGAUAGAAACAAGAGACACUCAAUUUGUAAUAAUCUAUUUUUACUUUCAAGCAUUACAAGGAACCUAAAAACAUGACAAGAAAUACAUGAGGAUGCACACACAAUAAGGGCUUACAAGAGUCACCAUCUCAUUUAUUUAGUUAUUUUUAAAAUGCGAAACUUAAAAUGCCAAGCACCUGUAAUGUUUUAAUUAGAUCAUUUUGCAGAAUUCAAUAACCCAAUAGCAGUAAGCACGACAAAUNNNNNUUAAUUAAUUAANNNNNCGCGCGACGCCCUCUCUCUGCUUCUUUUCAAAAACACGAUCUCUAAUGCCAAGAGCAGAGAAAAGGGUUAUCAACUGGCGAUUAAGGAAACAAGGCUGAUACUUGCUAUUUGCCAAAAUGUCUAGACUUGUGCUUUCCGAUUUGUACUUGAACAUACUCUUCCUCAAUGAUAACUUUGUUGAUGAAGUUGGAUCAACCGCUACAACACCUUUAUAGCCCCCAUAUCGAAUUUGAUAUGCGGAUGGAGUAUAAAUCGUGAAACCACAAUUUUUAGCCACAAUUUCAGCUAAUUCGGAAGAUAUUUUCCCUAUACCAUCCGAGAAACAAUAUGUAAUCCCAUCCUUCUCAACCUCCACAUCAGGAAUGAUUUCGAUAUCACUGCUAUGAACAUGCAAUGCCUCUCUAGAUGAGCUGAAAGACUGACCAAGUCUAGCCGCAUACUUUGCAACAUUCUUUAUAUCGCGAAAAUCACCCAUUCUCUCUCUGAUAUCUGCUGCAGUAAGCUCAGGCCUGGAUGCAAACAUCCACAAAGAAUUAUCUUUCACUUGACUAUUUGAAAAUGCCAGAGUUUCAAACUUCUUAUCUCCGAUGACUAUCCCAUUUCUUAGAGUUGAGAGUACUCUUUCAUAAAUUCUUGUAUGUCUUUCUUCAUUGGUGGAAGAUGUCACAGGAGACAAAACUGUUGAGUACAACUUAUCCAAGUCCUCAUCAACAAAAGAAAGACGAAGAAAGUUGUCAAUUUCAUCCGGAUAACUUCGUAACACACGAUUUGACAGACUGAUCUCCGGACCACAAAAAUAAACCUUAGAUGGGGUUACCAGAACCUUGUUAACAUAAACCAAACCAUCAUCUAAAGCAACAGCAGGGGUAUUAAGUAGUCUCCCAGAUAAGACAUACUUCCUAUAUUGCUCUGCGAGCCAGCUUACAGGCUCAUAACAGCAUUCUCUUAGAUGAAAUAGCGUCUCCAAAGCAUGUUCUAUGCAUUCCAUUUUGAUUCUACUUGGAUCAACCAAGCAAAAGAAUUUGGCAUCAAGUGCCGGCCCUGGAAUGCAGCCAUGUUGAACCAGAGAAUUGAUUUUGAACAAUAUUUUGAAUGGCAAUUUAAUGCCAUGAGGUGGACUGAUCAUAGGGACAAGAUCAGUGUUGCUAGAGAACCCUGAACCUCGUACUAGAGUGAACUGGAGUGGACUUUCUUUGUAGUAAAAGAAAUCUUUCAGAGCUUUCGGAAUAUGAGCCCCUCUGGGAAGUUCCAAACACAUGGCAGAUGAUUGUCCAAUGCUUGACGAUGGAGUAAAAUCAACUUCGCGAACCCAGUGGAUAUCUUUCUCAUAAAUCAUAGGAGCACCAUAUAACUGGCAACAGAUAACAAAGAAAACAAGUUUUAGCGUAUAACAUUUGAAAGAAGUAAACUGAUCGAUCAUGCAACACGGUAUUGAAGUUAUAGCUUUCUUGUAAGUGAUCAAUUUACAAAAAAGCUAUAUUUCUUGAUACAUAACAUGAAGUGAUUUUAUAAAAUGAUCUCAUAUUGAUUAGUUGUAAUGCAAAAUACAAACCUGAAUGACAAGAUAUUUAACAGAGUGACCUCUGGGACGGUGUAGCACAAUCUGCCAAAUGCUUUCAUAGGAGAGCUCAAGCUUAUAAUCUACAGAUGCAUAAGACAGAAAGAACAUAAAUUUUCUGAGGUCCGAACACAGUUUCACAGAAACAUUUUCCUGUGACCAGAGCACAGAAAACUUGUCCUUGGAAAUUUGGCAUCCAAAAUUCAACUUCAAAUCAUCAUCCAACUUGUAAUACGGGGUCCUUCUCCUUUCAUCGGAAGCUUUCAGAUAAGAUUUCCCGUACCACAAAAGACGCCCAGCAGCCAACGACUUGAUNNNNNUUAAUUAAUUAANNNNNAGAAGAAGAAGGAGAAGUAGAAGAAGAAGGAGAAGAAAAAUAUAUUAGUAUGGAAAGAACACAAGUUUAUUUAUAAUGCAGUCCCUCCCAAGUCCCUACAUGGGCACAAGCACUGAAGCAAACACACUGACACAACAUAUAUAUUACCAAGAAGAAAAGAAAUUAGUAGCCAGCUAGUAGCACAUUCAACAUACAUAUAUACAGAACUUGAACAUAAUUGACAACAUCUGGAGGGAGAGGGAUAUAUAUCGAUGCUGCAGCCUGCAAUUCAUAGCAUGUCAUCGAUCAUUUAAUUGCUUAUCAAAUGGUGUCCUUGAAUGUUUUGAUUAAGAAAAUGGUGAUGAUGAUCAUUCUAAUGGUGAUGAUCUUCAAGGGGCCUGGGAAAUUUGUGAAACAACGCCCUAGCGGUAGUGUGUGUAUUUAUAACUUGAUGAUAGAGAGUACGGUGGUUGUCCAAAUUCACACAUUCACCAAACUUUUCCCAUGAAAUUAUAUGUUCGCAUAUGGCAGCAACCCUGCACACAAAUCAUCACAACCAAAAGCUCACGUUUUGCAUGCAAACGCCUGUCUAUAGUCAUUCACCAACCACAAAUUACUCAAGCAAGUACUCGUGUCGUCAACACUUACCCUUUACUCCAUCUACGCAAACAAGAAUUCAACUCGCUUAUUAGCGCUAUAUAUAUAUAAUAUAAUAUAAUAUAUUAAAGAGAAAGCAAACCAAAAUAAAUUCUACACUCAUGUGGACGUUUUGCUCACAAAAUCUGGACAAGAAAAAAUAAUAUUGAUACAAUCUCCAAAUAUAAAGCGUUCCUCUUGGUAAAACAAACAAUUCCUAUAAAUUUUGAUUAAUGGUGCCAAAUGAAAGAGUUGUAAUUUCAUGUAUAUUUUGUUAACAUGAAUAAGGGUACAAAAUAGAUUACAAAAUGACAAAAACAAAGCUAAUCACUAUGAAUGAUAGGUUUAGAGUAAACAUAAAGUUAUAAUCUUGAACAUAAGUGGUGCUUAAAGUCAUGAAUUUGAUAUCAUCCAUGAGGGAAGUUCAAACAACGGUAUAUAAUAAGCAACAAAUGUUGGGAAAAAAAAAUUCAUUGCAACACAACAUAAUAAAUUGUAAAGAAAUCCCAGUUUGCAUAAAAGAAAGGAAAAAAAUUACGGAAAACAUAAGCACAACAAAAUUGGACUGAUUAUUAAAAAUGAGAAAUGAGUUAUAAUGAGAAUUUUGGCUUUGUAAUGAACUAAAUUGGGAAGUAUCAGAAGUUCGCAUGAAUACGAUAUAAAUGAUAAGAAGACGAAGGGAACAUAAUGAUAAUAAGCAAGCCAAAUAUUAAAAUGCAGAUUCUACGCUUCCACCCCCACACUUCAAUUUAGUGUCUCGCUGAUCAUUUCAGAUAUAUCAAUUACAAAGGGAGGCCAUUUAUUUAUAUUAAGCGUACGCCUCUAAUGCUUUGCCAAGUGUCCAUUGAUAAUAUCACAAGGGCAAUUAAAUUGGUGUAUGUGCAUUACACCUCCAAAGUCAUGUUAAGAUAGUCAGUGAGCUGAUAAAGUUUGUUGCACGUGUGAGUUAGCUAAGUCUGUUAGAAAUGCAGACGUGUAAAGCUGAGUCAACAAGUUAGUUAAGGUUGUUACGAAUGCUUAGAUUCAGCUCAUGUGUAUUGUAUGUAAUGCUUAGAUUCAGCUCAGAUUGUGUAUACGACUUUCUAAUAUUCUUUAGAUCUCAACAUAAAUACUUGUGAUCAACAAAUACAAUAAUAAGAAUCAUUAUUCUUCAUUUUCUCUAUGUUUCUCUCAUAUUUUCUCUGCAUCCAAACACAAUAUUUUCAGUUCUUGACUUGGUAUUAGAAUUGAAGUUUAAUUGUCACGGCUUCCUUAAGCANNNNNUUAAUUAAUUAANNNNNUAGUCUAUGAUCUUCAUCUAUACAAAUUUAAAAUACUCCCUUUUGUUUUCUUCAUUUUUUCAGAUUAAUUAUUUUUAAUUUUGGGAAACUAAUGUUUUUAAGUUUUGUAAAGAAAGAAAGUUUGGAGAGAAGAAUAAAGAUAACAAUACUUCAAAAGAAAUUACCACUUAUAGAAUUGUUUGUGUGAAAGGUAAGGUAAGAAGACUAUUAAAAAAAAUUUAAGAGUGAGAAAAUUGAUAGAAAUCAAAGAAAAUUUGGAAAUCAAAGCACACUCAAAUUAAGGAUGAUAAUUUAGAAAGAAAUUGUCUUUUUAGUAUUAAAUGAAUCAUAAUUGAAAGGGGGUUUUAAAAGAAUAAUAGAAAGGUGUUAAAAGCCUCUCUCUUUUCAAUUUCGUGUACCUUUCUAUUGUUUGGUUGACCACAAAAUGGGGGAAUUUAAUUUCCUUUGAAAUUUAAAUUCCAUCUAAUUAAGGGAUCUGAAUUAUUCGCGAAGAGUGAAGCAGGGGCAGAGCUACUUAUGGGUUGGGCCUAUAGCUCGUCCAAAAUUUUGAUAAAUUUACAAAAAUAUCAUUGUGCAAAAUUUUAAAAAUUGUCAUUGCUUUACACUUUUAUUUACAAUUACCAUUCUAUUAAUUUACCAUUUUACCAUUCAAAUAAAUAAAUAAAUAAAAUUAGCAUUUACUUAAUUCUUUGAGAACGUGCUCUCUUUGUUUGUUGGCUUCUUUGUGCUGACAUGCUCUACUUCUUCGGUUAUUCGUCUUCUCUUGGUAAGUAUAUAUAACAAAUUUAUUUUUUAUUUGAUUAUUUACAAUAUAUUUAUAGAUUGUCAGGUAGUAAAAACUAAAAAUCAUUUUCUUUACUUAGUUCAUGUUCUAAUUUUAUUGUGUAAGAUUAAAUUAUUGUUAGGUCAAACCAUUGAAUUCUAGCAAUUAAAAUUUAAAAUUGAUUAUUGAUAAUAAUAAAUUAGAGAUAAUUAUUUCAGUGAAAAAGAAGAAGUGCUGCAAGAGCUUAUCAAGACACCACUUUGAAAUAAGAUGGAGAAUUUUCUACAUCAGAUUAUAUGGUUAUCUAUAUUGAAAGAAAAUUUCUAGACAUUGUGAAUUCAAAUUCAAUAAUAGAUGAAUUUAAUUCUCGAAAGUUUAGAAAGACAGAAGUAAAAUAUUACUUAAUUGUAAUUGAAUUGCUUCUUAAAUUUGAUGUAUUUUCUUAUGUAUUAAUGAAAUUUUCAUUAAAAUUUAUAUUUUUAAUUGCAAUAAUAGUUGGACUUGGAAAAAAUUUAGCACACCCAAAAAAAAUUUCCUUACUUCACCCCUGAAAUGAAGAAUCCAAAUUCCAAAUUCGCUAGAAAUCGAAACUUCCAAAUCUACCUCUUUUAUACUUUACUAUUAAUUAGUUCAUUGUUACUAAAUCAAUUAUUAUUUAUAAUUUUUUUGUCACGUAAUUCAAUGGCAAAGUUUGAUUCAACAAGAAAUUUUUUUAAAAAGAUUUUUUUAUUUAACUAAAAAAAACUCGUUAAUUACACUUAAAUGUAAUUUUUUAUUUAAAAAUAAAUAAUAAUUGAGUAGGGGUAAGAAUACAUUUUAUAACUAAUUGUAGAGAUAGAAAUAUCAUUUUGUAGCUAUUACAAGGGCAAAAAAAGUUAUUUUAUAAUUAAUUUUAGGAGCAAAAAUAUCAUUUUAUAAUUAUUUUUAUGUUUCCAUUAAAGUUAACAGAUUAUUACCCGCUCAAGUAUUUUUUAAAAAAUAUGUCACUUUUUAAAAAUUUAUCAAAACAUGUGUCACCCAAGGGUAAUUAUUUCUGAUUUUUUAAAUUCUUAGGUGUUUGCCAUUUGAUUUAAUCAUGUAACAUAUACAUUAAUACCUAUGGCGAGAAANNNNNUUAAUUAAUUAANNNNNAUUCUACAUUGGCAGGUGAAACUUAGCACCUCAGGGGUCUGAUUAAGAAUGGAAGUUACAUCUAAUAUGAUCAUGAUUGUACAUUAUGCAUGAGAACAAAGAGUAUUAAGAACAAGAAUUUAACUCAGUAGAAAAUAAAAAUGUGAAAACAUUAGUUAGGUUUUCUCUUAUAGUGCAAUUAAAAUCAUUCGAUAUUAAUCGAUAACUUUAUCUUUUUUUCUUUUCAAAUUAGACAACUAUGCAGUAUAUAUGGAUCCACAUAGAAUCUAGAGAAAUAGUAUAUUUUGGGAUUGAGAAUUAGAAGUUUGAUUAGUAUCCGCAUUAUAUUUCGUAGGGAAUGCUGAGGACAAACAUUUCAUUUAAAGAUGUGCAAGAAAAUAGCACAAAUGAAUCAAAAUUAUUUUGGUCUUUUUAGAAGGUAACAAUUAAGAAAUCGGAUUAUGAAUUAAUGAAAACUUCUAUGUUUUAAACAUUUAUUGAGUAUUAGGGAUUUAAAAGUAAAUCUUACUCAUAAAAUUAGUAAAUAUAUAUAAAAAUAUCUUUUUCCGCCAAACCCCAAUCUAAGAGGACACAAUUCUUCACCCCUGCUUGCAUUUGCCAAUUUAUUGUAAUUGUUACGAGUUGGUGGGAGUGAUUCAUUAUGAUCUGAUGAUCAGGCUUUUUUUUGCAUAGAAUACAAUGUGGAGAUUUUAAACCGAUGAAACGAAAUACUGCUUAAUUGUGCUGCCUUUGCAGCUGUAUUCCACUUAGAAUUCAUGUUUGCAAAAUGUCAAGGUUGUUGUGUGGAUAGUUUAAGGAGUAAUAUCUUUGAAUAUAGUUGAGUAUGUUUUGCUUUUUACUAGCAUGUCCUAUGCAUCAUUGAUUGUUCAAGUAAAUAACUUAUUUUAAUUUUAAUUCCUUAUUUCGACUCCAGCUCAUUCCAAUUUUAGUCAAUUUUAAUUCUAACCCAGUUUGAUUUCCGAUUAAUAAACGCAUGAAAAGUAAUAAAAAGUUCUAAAGAAUUAGAACCCGUACGCCUCGUUAAGAAAAUUGAGUUCCAAUAUCAAACAUUUUCGACUAAACUUGUGCUCCCAGAAUACAUGUGCAACAUUCUCGACAAAUCAUCAAUGUCUCGCCAAAUAUAGUAGUAUUUGUUGAAGCUUCACCAGGCUGCAUAGCUUCUAAAAUAGAAUUUACUUUCAAAAUUAAUGAUCAACCAAGAAUUUAGUUAUCAAACAUAGUAUAAAUAUGUGUAGGCUUGCAUUUUAUAAACUCACCCCAUAUACAACAUUAUCUCCCAAUUCGCCACAUUAAUUUGAACCAUGGCUAUUUCAAAGAAUGCAGUGAUUUUCUCCGUGAUGGUCAUGGCUAUUUGUUGUGGGGGUCACCACGGUAGCAAUUGCUCUAGCAUGGCAAUGAUUGCUCCAACACCCCAAGAGGCAUCUGAGGAGACAUAUGACUUACCAACAAUCGAUAAUGUUGAACGACAAGUUGUGUUGAUUCCAUAAGAAAGUGAUUGUGAUUCUACACCCGCAAGAGCUAGGGCAACAAAAGUUGUUCAAAUUCCCCAUGAAGAAGGUGAGUGUGAUUCUGCACCUAAGGAGACAAAUGAUGUCCCAGCGCAUGCAAUCAAUAAUGUUAAAUGACAGAAAGCCGUAUUGAUCCCAGGAGAUGCUGAUUGUGAUUCUGCACCCACAGGUGCUAGAGUUGUAAAAAAUUUCCAAACUGCACCCAAAAAGAUCAAACUAUGCAAGAGGAAGCUGAUUGUGAUUUUGCUCCCGUUGGUGCCAGAACCACAAAGGUGACAAAAGGUCAACCAAUAAUUGUUCAUUCUUAAAAAAUUGACUUGGAAUUUGGGUUUAUUGUCACCUUAAUGAGCCUAAAUUUUNNNNNUUAAUUAAUUAANNNNNUCAUACAUUACAUGAUUAUCGUAUGCUACAAAUAACUUGGCAACAUAUGUGGCCCACUCAUCAAGAAGUUACGAAAGAUCAUCCAUAGUGUGUACUCGUCACAUCCAACUUCAAAUCCAAUUACUAACAAGUCAGUAUAUAUUACAAACUUCAAAACUAAAACAAUAAUCUGUAACCAACCACUCAACAAUUUUUAGAAAUUACAAAAAGCAAGAACAUGGAAAUAAACAGAACCAGCACACAACACCUAACAGUAAUUACCAAAGAUCCCUAACAAGCUCAAAAUUGAUAUUAAUCCUUUUCAUCUUAAGUAUUCUUAGGCUAUCACUGAUGAAUUAAAUAAGUAUUCUUAAGAAAAAAAAAUGUAUAGUACCAAACUCUUGCAGUACUUUCCAAUUUCCUAUCAAAUCUUCAAGACACAAUUAUAACAAUCUGGGGCCAAAAUACAACACCACCUUUUUAGAAACUUCACUUUUGCAGAAAGAAACUAAAUAUAUUCAGUUAUUGAGGUAUAGGAAUAAAAAAUGGCUUAAGGUCAUUGAGAUGAAGAAAGCAAAUGGAAAGAUUGAAGAAAGAUCACUGGAUCAAUUACAAGGAUCUUUCAAUCAUUCACUUAGCAUGCUGCACUAUCAAUUAUUUAAAAAGGGUGGAGCUUAUUUUUACUAAGGUGAACAUUCUUUAUGUUUGUGGCUCAAAAUAACUACAAGAGUAUAACUAUAUUCUCAUUUUAUGGGUAGAAAGUGAAGUCCAUUAAUAGAAAUUCCAAAUCCAAAAUAUAGGUAUAGAAUAUAAGACAAUAAAACAUAUAUGCUAUAUUUUAAUAAACCAUCAAGAAAUGAUUAAAUUAAGCAUUACCUCAAUGGGUUCAGCUACUCCGCAUGGGAGACGAGACAAAAAUGCAAGUUUCAUAAAAGUCAGCAUGUGCUAGCUAGGAAGGAUUUCUUUUGACUUCAUCUACAAUUUACUGAAGAAUUUUGCUGCACAUUUAUAGAACAGAAAAAAGUAUUAACAUUAAAAUUUUAAACCAUGUUUGAAAUUUAACCAAAAAAAAAAAAUAGAGACUAGAUACAUAAACUUCUUACAUGUGCAUGAAUACUCCUAAGCUUCAUAGCUAAAUAAUAAAUAUAGUUUUUUAAUGCAUUAAAGUUUAGGUUACCAAGCAUGUAAUUAAUCUAACCUAGGUGAUAAUGCCCUGUAGGCAUAAUGCAAGACUUAAUUUUUCAAGUUUAAAUAAAAGAUACAAAUUGCAAAACAAAGCCAUGUACAUGUUCAGCAAGCCAACAAAACAUGCCAUACACAGUUUUCAUUUUUCAUGUCAUUUCAUUUUUUUUAAUUGAUUAUCUACUGAUUCUGUAGAUUGUAAUAUCCAAUUUGACGCAAUAAAUUAGUAUGUUUAAUACACACCCCUUGUCUUUGUACGCUUCUCUCUUUUGGUUUCUUGUACUUUAGGACAUUUAACACAUAACAAUUGAUACCUACAUAAAACAAUCUAGGAAAUUGAUGCAAGCAAAUGAAUUAAUUGGGCAACUUACUGCUUUCACGGAUGAAAUAAUGCAAUCCUUACCGAGAGGGCUCACAGCGCUGGAUGGCAACUUGCCAAAUAGCAAAUCAAGUAGAAGUCAUUGUCUUUUUGUAACUUCUACAAAAAUAGUAAAAACAUAUUACAUAUUAGAGAAUGCCAACAAGCCAAAUAGCAAAUGAAGGAAACCAAGACUAUGGAGAAUUCCAAAUUACUUCAAAUUUCUCCUUGUCCUCUCUUGUAAAAGUAUUUCUUGAAAACAACAACUUUGUUAGGGUCUGUUGCAAGAAAAAAAAUGCAUAUAACUCAAAAGCCGGUUGAUUUUUCAUGUAAUAAGCAAAACUUAAANNNNNUUAAUUAAUUAANNNNNACAUUACCAACAUCAUCAAGAUUUGAAUUAAAAGCUUUAAUGGCCCAAAAUGAUUUAUGUUCAAGUUCAACUGGUAAGUGGCAAGAUUUUCCAUAAACAAGCCGAUAGGGUGACAUUCCUAAAGAUGUUUUAAAAGCAAUACGAUAUGCCUAAAGUGCAUCAGUUAGUCGAAGAGACCAAUCUUUACGGUUUGGAUUAAUUGUCUUUCCUAAAAUUUAUUUUAUCUCCCUAUUUGCUAAUUCAACAUGACCACUUGUUUGAGGUUGAUAAGGGGUAGCAACUUUAUGUGUAAUUCCAUAUUUCUUCAUUAAGGACUUAAAUGGUUUAUUACAAAAAUGCUUACCUCCAUCACUAAUAAUGGCUCGAGGUAUUCCAAAUCUGCUCAAAAUAUUUUCUUUUAAAAAGCGGAUCACAAUCUUGUGAUCAUUGUACAGACAAGGAAUUGCCUCGAUCCAUUUUGAAACAUAAUCAACAGCAACUAAAAUGUAUAUAAAUCCAAAUGAUGAUGGAAAAUGGCCUAUAAAAUCAAUUUCCCAACGAUCAAAUAUUUCAAUGACAAGGAUUAGGUUUAAAGACAUCAUGUUUCGCUUUGAAAUAGACCAUACCAUUUGGCAAUUCUUACACACUUUACAGAAUGCAUGUGAAUCUUUAAAUAAUGUAACCUAAUAAAAUCCACAAUGCAAUAUUUUUACAGCUGUCAUUUUUGAAGAAAAAUGGCCACCGCAUGCUUCAGAAUGACAAAAUUGAAUGACCCUACUUACCUCGUCGUCUAGUAUGCAUCUUUGAAAAAUUUGAUCAGAGCAGUACUUGAACAGUAAAAGCUUUUCACUUCUGUUAAGAAUUUCUUCUUGUCCUGAGAAUUCCAGUCACAUGGCAUUUCACAUGUUGCAAGAUAAUUAACAAUAUUAGCAUACCAAGACAUUUUGUUUAUAGAAAAUAAAAAUUCAUCAGGGAAAGAAUCAUUGAUGGGUGUUGUUUCAAUUGAAGACUCAUUCGUAAGUCUUGAAAGAUAAUCUGUAAUAACUUUUCAGCGCCCUUUUUGUCCCUGAUUGUCAAGUUAAAUUCUUGAAGUAGCAAAAUCCAUCGUAUCAACCUUGGUUUGGCAUCUUGUUUUGACAUUAAAUAUCUCACAGCAGCAUGAUCAGAAUAAACAAUAGUGGAUGAACCAAUUAAAUAUGAAUGAAAUUUAUCCAAUGCAAAUAUUACAGCAAGUAGUUCUUUCUCAGUUGUAGUGUAAUUCAUUUGAGCAUUAUUCAAAGUUCUACUUGCAUUAUAGAUGACAAAAGGCUUACCUUCCUUUCUUUGACCCAGAAUAGCACCAACGACAUAAUCACUAACAUCACACAUUAGCUCAAAAGGUAAAGACCAAUAAUUAUUGGGGCUGAUGUCAAAAGAGUAGUUAUUUUUUCAAAAGCUUGUUGACAAUCUUUAGUCCAUUCAAAAGGUGUGUCUUUUAUUAGGAGGUUACAAAGUGGUCUAGAUAUGGCACUAAAGUCAUUUAUAAACCCCCUAUAAAAUCAUGCAUGUCCUAAAAAGGAACGGACUUCUCUAAUUGUCUUUGGUGAGGGUAAUUUUGAAAUGACUUCAACUUUGGCUUUGUCAACUUCAAUUCCUUUUGAAGACACAACAUGACCCAAAACGAUUCCAAAAGUGGUCAUGAAAUGACAUUUUUUCCAAUUUAAAACUAGUAAUUUUUCUUUGCACAUUUCCAAAACUUUUUCUAGAUUAUCAAUACAUGUAUCAAAAGAAUUACCAAAUACAGUUAAACAUCCAUAAAAACCUCUAAACAAUUUUCAACCAUGUCACUAAAAAUACUUAGCAUGCACCUUUAAAAUGUUGCAGGAGCAUUACAAAGUCCAAAGGGNNNNNUUAAUUAAUUAANNNNNAUGGAUCUAAGGCUUCUUUUGAAUAAGUAAGUGAAAUUUUAUAUGUUUCUACAUAUGUUUAUGACAUUAAAGGUAUGUUUUGAAAAUUUUAUAUGUUUCUACAUAUGUUUAUGACAAUAAAGGUAUGUUUUGACAAUUUCUACCAUGGAUAAUUAGAAUUAUUCUGUCACAAAUAAUGUUACUGACAUAAUUGUUUUUUGUCACAAAAGCCACAGUAAGAAUGUUGUGACAGAAUAUUUAUUGAUUUGUGAUAGAAAAUAAUUGUCAAGAAACAGUGUUAAAAAUAUUCUUUCACACGUGGCAACUUAUAUGUAUAGUAUUUUGUUGAUGUGGCAUCCUAUUUGGCAAUUGAGUUGGCAUAUCUGGUCCCACAAUUGGCUGACAUGUUAAUUAUAAUUUUUUUUAAUGUAACUGAUGUGGAAUCUGACAUAUUUGUACAUGUGGAAUAAUUUGCAAACGUGGCAUAUGAUGUGGCUACUAACAUUAUGGUAACGUGGCAAUCAUUUCUGUCACAAGUGGAUGAUAGAUUUUUGUCACGGUGGGAAAUAUAUUCUGUCACAUGUGCAUGAUAGAUAUUUUUCAAUUUCAAUUAUCCUUUUUUUACAAUUCCUAAAUAAUAAAAUUCUAAAAUAAAUCCAUUACAAUUUUAAAAAAAUACAAAUUGGUUCAGUAAAUCACAUAAUAAAUUUUUAUAAAGUAUAAUCCAACAUACAUAUAUUUAUAUCCAGUAUUCCAAAAUAUAAAGUAGAAGAUAAAUUCAAUCCAGGUAAUAAACAUAUACAUUGAUCAGUUAACUAAGAGAUAACUACCAAAAAUAUAUAGCUUAAAAUAUUGAAAUUGACUCCAAAAAGAAACAUCAAUGUAUGUUAAUCGCCUGAUCACCAGUAGCAUAUAUAAGCAAUGAACAACAGCAACAAGUUCCUGCAUACAUAGAAAUAAAAGAAAAUGCAUCAACGUAAUGAAAUUUUGAAAUGCUGCUUAGUUACAAAUACAUAAAUGUACAUCAAUCUUCAAAUGAACCAAACUUUAUUCACAGUUGCUUACAAAUUGUCCCCCCCCCCCCCAAAGCAUACACAACAUCAACCAACAAUAAAACGUACACAAGCAUUAGCCAACAAAAAUAUGUAAUCAGAAACCUAAAAAAGCCUAAGCACUUAGAAUGCUUACAAAUAUUAAAAAACAUUAGUUAACAACAAAGUCAAACUAUUCUAUUGCCUAUAAACUAUAAUAUUCUAAUUAAUACAAAUAUACUUAAAGAAAAAUGGAAAUGAGGGAAUAAUUACUUAUGAAAACUAAAGUGAAUAUUUGAUACCUAAUACUCUCUUUUGUAUAUUCGUAGUAUGAAAAAGCCAACUUUCAACCGAUAAUUAUAUCAAAUACCUGAAAUAAUCACAACUUUUCCAAGACAAAGGAUGCCCACUCCUUACGGAUUUCAUCAAUCUCUUCUUCAUUAUAAGUUUUCUUUCCAAAGAACUAUAAACAAAUUCAAAUAAAUUAGCUAUUAUAUAAAUAUAGAACUACAUCAUAAAAAAUGCACACUUACAUCUUCUUUUAGCACAUUGUUAUCAGCAAUGAUAUCUUGCAUAUAGGACAUGACAUAAAACCCGCAUUCGACAUUUCCGGGUUGUCUCGGUGCCUAAAAAAUUAUUCAAUUAACUGUAUGUUAAGAAUAUUUAUCAUUUGAACUCAAAUGUGCAUGAUAAUUAAUAAUUAAUUACUUUUACCUUCACUGUAGCCCAAUUAACUUUAACUUUAUUACUUGAAGCUGAUUCUUUAACAUUAAGUCUUGCCAUGGCACUGCAGAAUGUAUGAUUAUCCAUGGUAGAAAUUGUCAAAACAUACCUUUAUUGUCAUAAACAUUAUGNNNNNUUAAUUAAUUAANNNNNAUAUUAUAAUUUUAUAUUUUUUAAUCAUCAUUAAUUUAUGAAUUAGGGAUUUAAAUUUUCUUUUCUUUUUUUAGUAUUUUUAUAUUUUAAUUUAUAUGUUAUAUUAAAAAAAUAGAGGAUCAAAUCUGAUAUAAACUUUUUUUUUCUCUUAAACUCUUAUAAAAAACUCUUGUGCAGGUUCUCAUAAAAAAUGCUAGGUUGCCGAACCUAAUUAUACGUGCAACAUUAAUUUAUAAUGUAAAAAUAUAUUACUAGGGCUAGAGGUGCUUGAUCUAAUAUAUAUCAACUGAUCUUAUUUUGUUGACCACUUGAAUUCUAAAAUAAUUAAAAUAAAUAUUAAUUUAAAUUUUAACCACAACUUAACCUUUUUAGAAAAUUAAAAAAAGAAAAAAAAUCUAUAAUUUGGGUUCCGAAAAAAUAAGAGUUAAAAAAUAUUAAUUUAAACUUUGUCUGCACCCCAAUUUUUUUUUUAAAAUAAAAAGAUUAAAAAAAUACUCUAUAAAUAUGUUUCUGGGAAGCAACCACAUGGAUCAUGCACAAGAGCUAAAAAACUUAUCAGUAAAGUCCAUUGCAUAUGAGAAAUUUAUAAAGAUAGCCAUAAAAUUUUUGCAUUUUUCAACUUUAACCCUCCAAAGUUUUUUCUAUCAUAACUAGCCAAACACACUAUUUUUGGACUAGAUUACCCUCAUCACUUUCAUCAAAUUUACAAAGGCAUGCCAUUUUUUCAAUUCCAGCACAACUAAAUAUGGAUCUUCCUCAACAACUUAACAAAUCUUCAUCACUCUCAACAAACUUCAUCACUCUCAAUAAAUCAACAAAUUCCAUCAAACAAACAUUUCAUAAUUGAAUAUAUAAUUAUCAAUUGGAGAGCUUCUUAAAAUUAGUUUAUACUCUUACACAAUAUAAACCUUUAAUCUAUUGAUUUUAUCAACUAAGUUCGAAAUUAAAGUUGGUUUUGUUGCAAAUGUUGUUAUUUUUCAUUCAUAAAACAAUGUGAUUUGUUAAAGUACUUACUUUGAGUUAAGAAAUGAAGAAAAAUAAUUGAAAACACAGAAAAAUAAGGCAAAAAAUGAAGUCCAGAACAAGUGAGACAGACAGUGGGACAUGUGCCUGUCGCACAUAAACUCAUGGAUUUUAUGGAGUAUAUGAUUUUGGAUUUGAUUUAUCUUGUCGUAAGCUUCGAAACGAUAUAUUAUACGCCUAAAACAGACAUAUGUAGCCCAAGUUAUGGCUUUUGAAACAUAUCUGAAAUUUAAUGAGACAAGCACCUAUCUCACUAAAUUUAGUGAGACAGGCAGUGGGACAUGUGCCUUUCUCACUAAAUUUCAAAUAUGUUUCGAAAGCCAUAACUUAGGGUGCAUGCCUCCAUUUUAGGCGUAUAAUAUACCGUUUCACAGUUUACGACGAGACAAAUCAAAUCCAAAAUCAUAUACUCCAUAAAAUCUGUGGGUUUAUGUGCGACAGGCAGUGGGACAUGUGCCUUUUUGACUUAUUAUUUUACUUUAUUUUUUAUAUCACUUGAUUUAUUAUUCAACUUUGUUAUGAAGAUUGAUAAUAAAGUUGAGAAUAUUUUUUAUUUAAGAUAUUUUUCCCUUUUUAGAUUAUGAUUAUGUAAAAUGAGACAGUCGGGGUGUUAUCGGUAUUUUAAAAGGAAUAAAUAUAUAUUUAAAAAAAAAGUGGUGGGAGGUCACGUGGUUCAGGUACUGCUCUGUAAUGAUGAUAGUUAAUAAUGGUCCGAUAGUGCACUCUUGCCACGCCGAGAUUAAAUUCAUUCUCUCGUAGAUAUUAUUGACUCGAUUUUUUAUAUCACUUGAUUUAUUAUUCAACUUUGGGGGGAACCUUAGGUGCAACUGUGGCACCGUGNNNNNUUAAUUAAUUAANNNNNAUUGGGAAAAUAGACAAAUAACAAAGACGCUCACACUACAAGUUAAGCAGAUCAAAUAAACAGAACAAAGGAAAUAACUGAUCAAUUUAAUUCUUUGUGCAAUGGCCACGGCAACAGCGAAAAUAUGUCUACAUGACUUUAAUGCUACUGGCGCGGAUGGUACCAUCACCGUGAUGAUAUGAGAUUAAAAGCAUUGAUUUCAUAAUUUUAUAAAAUUUCAUAUAGAAGAUAUAAUUGAUUUGAGUUAGUUUAACAUUGAAAGAAAGAAUAAUAAGGAAUGAUAUCGAUGUGGCGUGUAAUGAGAAUUGAUAGAGACAAAUAUUGAUCAUGUAAUAAUGAAAUAUUUAGUUACUGAAAAAUAUUUGGCAAUAAAAUGAUGCUAUAAAAAUUUAACAUUGUUUACAAGAAAAUAGUUUGCAAUUAAAAGAGAUAUAUAUGCAAUGCUUUGAGUUUAUUUUAUCAUUUCACUAACCAUUUUGUAACUACAUAUUAAAUAGAAGUUGAAUUAAUUCUGAUCUAAGACUCUAGAGAAUGUAGAAAAAUGAUUUGAUUAUGUAUACAAACAAUAUUGGAGAUGAGAUAUCAGAUAUGUCAAAAUCAAUGACAAGAACAAUAAUAAGAACAUAUUCUACAAAAGUUAUAAAUACAUAUAAUAUAAAUUUAGUUUCAAAUUACGAAAUUAUGAAUUUGUAUAGUAAAAGAGUCCAAUAGAAAAAUGGAAAUUUUUUAAAAAGAGAUUUGCUUAGGGAAAAACUUUAGCUUGGUUUGGUUAGUGAAGGCUCGAGUAAUUGAAAGCAACGCAAUUGAAGGAAAUACAAACUUCCGCUUUUGACAAAGUAAUCGCUAAAAUGCUAAAAAUGUUGGGAAAAUAGACAAAUAAUGAAGACCCUACAGGUUUGCGGAGCAAAUAAAUAGAGUAAAAUAGAGCAAAUAUUUACCAUUAUACAUUUACUGCAGAAACAAAGUGCCUUCAUAACACCAGUUAAACUGUGUCUAGCUACCAUGCUGGUUCUACUUUUACUUUAUUAAAUAUAUACAGCAUUAAAUCACCUGAGCCUCCAGUUUCUCUAGUUUCCAACUUGAAAUUAAAACGUAGAAUUGAUGGUAAUGGAGUUCCUUAUUUAAUUUUGCUGUAGGUCAUGGGCAAUUAGACGGCCAUCCAUUUUUAUGUCUAUUUUAUGUACUAUUGGCCACUAAGUAGCUUGGAUAUUUUAUACGUAGUUUGAAAUAAGUCAAAAUCAAUUACUAGAACAACAAUAAAAGCAUAUUUUAUAAAGGCCAAAAAUACAUAAUAUAAAUUUAGUUUUGAAUUUUGUAAUUAUUAAUUCAUAUAUUAAGAGAGUCUUAUAGAAAAAUAGGAAUUUUUUGAAAGAGAUUUGCUAAAGUAAAAAAUUUCGUUUGGUUUAGUUUGUGAAGGCUCAAGUAAUUGAAAGCAAUGCAAGUGAAGGAUAUAUGAACUUGUAAUUUUUACAAAGUAAUUGCUAAAAUAUUUGACAAGCUUGAGAUUUUAAAAAGGCUGGGAAAAUAGAAAAACAAUGAAGACCCUACGAGUUGGCAGAGCAAAUAAACAGAGGAAAACAUGACAAAUAUUAUGUUGAUGCACAAUCUUAUUUUAUGUUGAUGCACAAUCCAACUUUUUAACAAAAAUAAUAUUUAAAUUGUCACAAAACGUAUUAUUCUUUAAAAAAAAUUCAUAUACAGUAGUUAAUUUUUCUUUACUCCAGGAUCCAACUACAUACCCCUCUUUUUUGUCGUUAUUCUGCUCAGUCGUUAGAUUUUAAUUACUGUAAAGAAUUGUGGAAAUGCUCAUAUAUUAUUUGUUGCUGUGUACAAGAUCCUUAUAUACAAAAAUACUAGAAUCAUNNNNNUUAAUUAAUUAANNNNNCCCAAAAAACUGACCCCAAAAUUUUAUAAUAAAUAGAAACAUCAUAUUAAAAUAAAUAAAUUUAAGUCAAAAUUAUUUUGAUUAUUAAAAAUAAUUUAAUAUUAUUAAUAGGGAGAUAUUUUGUUAAUUGUAAAAUCUAUUUAACCCAAAGAUUUGUUUAAAAUCUCUAUAAUAAAUAUAAAUAUAUUGUUAAAAUAAAUAUAAUAACUUAAAAAUUAAUAUUAUUUUAAAUGUUAAAAACAAUUUAAUAUUAUUAGUGUACUAGAUAGAUUAUAUUAUUUAUAUUAAAGUUUUAUUAAUCAAAAACUUCAAAGUCCAUUUUCUAAAUUACUAAAUUCAAAGGGUAUUAUGGUUAAAAAGGGGUCUUGAUGUCCCUUCUUGAAAAUUUGAGGGUCUUUGGGGCCAUUUCUCCAAAUCUUGGAGGUGUAAGUGUCAUUUUUCUUAUUAGUUAUAGAGACGUUUACAAUAAUUACGGGGAGCUUUUUCUUCAUGUUAAUUUUGUAAACUUCCCUAUACUAAAUUUAAUUACAAAAAUUAAAUGAAAUUAUAAUUAUAAAAAAUUAUAAUUACAAGAUAUUAAUUUUUAAAGAUUUUGUAGAAUAAAAUAGUCUUUUAGGUAAAAUGAUUAUUUUUAGUGUUAAAGCAAUUAAUUGUUUCAAACUUAAAAAAAUAGUGCAAAAAACAAGUCCAAAUUUUGUGGUGGUUAGAUGCACAUAUGAAAAAAUAAAGGUGGUGAGGAGAUAAUUUCCCUUUACUAUAAUAACAAUUAAAAUAUAAUUAAAAUGGCGCAUUGUGGUGCGUUAUAAAUUAAUGUAAUGCACCACAAUCCAGCAAACAUAGUAUUGCAAUACUAUGUAAUAUUAUGUUCUAGACACACCCUAAAAGGUGAAUUUGACACACUGUAUUGUAUUAUGCUGUAUUACAUUAUUUUAAUGUUGGUGUAUUCUAUUAUGCUUUAUUGUAUUAACAUUGUAUUAUAAUAAUGUUGUACAAUGUUUGGCGCUACACUGUACUGUAUUAAUUUUUUUGUAAUUAAUGUAAAUUAUAUAUUAUAUUAUUAUUUAUAUUCUUAUUAAUUUUAAAUUAAUAUUUUCUAAAUUUAUUCAUAUUUAAGUAUUUAUUAUUAGUUAUAUUGUAUUAUAAAUUUAUUAAUAAAUUAUAAUGUAAAAAUAAAAAUAUUAUAUUAUAUGAAAAUUUUAUAUUUAUUUAUUAUUAUUGUUAUAAAGCAAAAACAAAAGCAAAAAGCAAAAAGCAAAAAGCAAAAAGCAAAAGCAAAAAAAGGAAAAGAAAAAAAAAACGCAAGGCUACAGUACCCUUAACUCAUACCCAUGUUUUUCUAAACAUGAUAUUAGUAUUAAUUUAAUAUGAAUAGUAAUUUAAUACCCCUUAAUACUAUAACCAAACACACCCAAAGCGUAUUAGACAACAGUUAUGGUUUCUCUCAAAUGCCAUUUAUCCCAAAAAAAAAAGGAUUUAUAUGUAAAAAAUUGUAACUUCUAGUUCCUAUUUAAUUUUUCAUAAAAUAUAAGGUAGUGUGCCAAACCACAAAAAAGUAGAAGUAGUGGUAUGCUGCAACCGUUGCAACAUAGUUUCAUCCAUGGGUUUAAGGAUGUAAGUUCCACAUAAUGUUUAAUAUUUCACUUUUUUUUUUUGAAGGGCACAUGUUGAGACAUAACGAGUGGUUGUCUUGGUGGGGGAGGAAGAAUAUCCAGCUGACCAAUCAAAUUACGACUUUUGGAGAUAAUGCUAAUGUGGAUUUUGAGACCUAGCAAGUGGUGGUUUUGGAUUCUCCUUUGAUAUGUGUUACUUCGACAGAGCUAACCCAUGCUUGUAGGUUAGGGCUUUGAAUUGAGACAGGUGNNNNNUUAAUUAAUUAANNNNNCAUUUUAUUUCUUAUGUUUUACAUAUACAUGAGGAACUUAAUUAUAACCCAGAUUGCUUACAUGAUUAACACAUAAUUAUUUGUAAUCUACGCAUAUUAUGCCCAAAAAAUUUCAAUUUUAAUUUUGAUGAGUAAGUAAUACACAGAAACUUGUCUGCAAAAGGUAUAUAUCAAAUAGAAAUAGACCACUCCAUUGAAAUUAGCUUUUGAAUUAUCUUGAAAAUUGAAAGGCCAUUCAUAGAUUUAGUGCUCUUUUACUUUUGCUGUAUUCAGAAUUUGUCAGCUUCUCUCAUAAAUUAUCCACAAGAUUAAUUAACACUCCUGAAAGUGUUUUCCUGAAAAUGAUCUUAACUGAAUGAAUAUGGCAAUAUGAAAAGAUGCAAUUGAAUUUCCAGUUAACAAAAAGCAUAGUAGGAUUCACUUAAUAGCCUACAAUGGUAAGAAUUAAUGGCCACAGUGAUUGAUUUCUUCGAAAGCAUAUGACAGACAUACUUCCAAAUCUUGACUGCAAAUCACAAUAGCCUAACAAGUCUAUUGCAAAUCAUGAACAAAUCCACUUUAACAAAAGGGUGUUUGAAACCUGAUCUUCCAAACAGAGAAAUAAUAAUGUCGAGCAAAGGUGCCCACCUACAAUUGUCUUAUUGUAGAAUGCACAAUGAUCCAUUUUGCUGAUUCUGGAUUUGUUUCUUUCAAUCUCUUAUUAUUCAACAUUUAAUGAUAUUCAGCUCACUAUUUUACGUAAACUUUUUUACCACAUUGUUCCACUUUUUGUUACUUUUGUGGUUUGUCGUGUCGUGUAAUUACUAUUAACUAGUCAAAGGGCCUGCCAUAGCUAGAUGCAUGCGUUGAAAUUCUGGCUGCGCAUAUGUGCUGUGAAAGCUACACGAGAUUUGUUGGGUUGCGCGCCACUGCCAUGUGAACUAAAUCACAAUGGAAAACUUGUGUGAAAAACGAUUGCCUCUGCUCUCUGUUUAAACGAAUUUACUAUAGUUAAUCAUAUGUUGUUGUCUUGUUGAUUCUAAUGUGGGUCUUUAUUUAUUAUUUAAGUUUUUGAAUCAGUCCUCUUGGCGCAGCUCAUUUGGCAGUAAAUAUGCUUUUUGUCCAUGAUAACAUUGAGUUUAAGUAAUAAUAGAGAGGUUAGUAGUUGGUGUUUAGUGGGUGCUAUUUAUUUUUUCAUCUGGUCGGUUAAACUAUUAUAUAAGUCUUUUUUUUUUAAUUUCAUGAAAAUUUUUAGUUACUAAUCAUUAAGUUAUUAAGUCAAUUUCUUUUAUCUUUUUGUUUAAUUUAAAAAUCUAAAUGAUUAAAUAUUUGAGAAUGCAGCUGCGUUAUAUAUUUGUUAGUAGAAUAAGUAUAUCAAUAAGUUAAGUUAUUAAGUCAUUUUUUUAACUGUUCUAGCUUAACCAAGGUUUUCAGAUCGAGACUUGGGAAUACAACUGCUUUAAAUACUUAUUGGGAGAGCUUUGUCGCCUUAGUAGUCAUACUCAGCUCAAAUCUGGAUUAGUCGGGGCCUAAUACAGUCUUCAUAUACUAGAUAGUUUAAUAUACCAAAAAAAAAUCUAAAUGAUAUCAUUAAAACAUAUUCUCUAAAAUAUUUCUAUAUAAUUAAUUAAUUUUCAUACUUACCUAAAUAAAAUCUAUUAAUUAGUAUUAUUACCCAUCUUCUUGUGAUAAUAUAAAGGUAGGAUAUUAUUAUUUUUAUCUUUUAUUUUCUUCAAAUUAGCACUAUUUAUCUUUAUAAUUUUUUCUGAAUAUUUUUCCAAGAAAAUAUCAUAAAUUACAAUAAAAUUGAUUAGCAUAUACUAAUGCAUAAUAUUAAAGGAUGAUAUUCAAUUGAACAUGAUUUAUGUUAUGAUAAUANNNNNUUAAUUAAUUAANNNNNGAAACCAUUGCUAUGUCCAGCACACUCUGCGUAAUGUGGCUUCUCAUUGGACUGAAUCUAUCUCAGAAUCUAUAUACGUUUGGCAAGAUGAUGAGUUGUUACCAUGGUAAAUUAAUGCAUAUGGGUUAGGUAUAUAAAAGUGGUUACUCACUCACACAUUGCUUGCGUGCUGCAACUAAUAUUAAGCUUUUAACAGAGGGGUCGGGUCCCUUUCCCCUAGUCCUGGGAUUCUUGGAGAAACUAUAGUGAAUAUGACAGAGUGAAAGAUGAAUGUCUACUGAGAGCUCAAGCUCUUGAAGAAAAUUGCAUUUGGAAAAGGAAGAGAGACAGAGUCAGAUAGAGACCAACGUUCAACCUCUUUUCUCACAGCUAAAGUUGAUCAUUUCUCAAAGAUUAAGUUGUAGGAACCUGAGCUUUCCAAAACUAUGGAAUGUCUACCAAUUGCAUGUAUAAACCCCAGCACAAGAGGUGAAUAGCAGGAACACCCAUUAUUAAUAAUUUAAAGUUUAAAAGUAAAAUAAUGUUUAUAUAACAUGAUUACUACAAUUACACUUGUAAUGUACAAACAUGAAGCAAAUGACAUAUCAUAAGCAAGGACAUCAGUGUCGGUAGCAUAUGCCUUACUUCCUGAAGAAUUUCAUACUUGUCUUUUCAUUUCUAAAAUUACACACGCAAAUGCAAGAAAAUCAAUGGCUAAAGGUGAAGUUGUAACAAGAGAAAAGUUCAAAUGCAUAAAAUCAUCACUAGAGACAGUGCAAAGAGAUAUUCACUACUGCAAUCUCUAGAUCAGCCUAAAAUAUGCUGUGGUCGAAGCUCAGAAUAAGGAACUUGUCAUGAAGCUUAAGACAGCUAAAAAUUGCAGGAAGUGGUUACAGUGGCCUCUCAAACCAUCCCUUCUGUUUCAGCAACAAUUUCUAUUUUAUGUUCCUUUCUCAAAGAAUCAUUUACUGUAUUGAAAGUUUCAAUUUCCAUUGACAUUCAUGAGCUAAAUUUUGGGAAGAGAAUAACAGAGAAACUACCGCAGUUUAUAAAUUAUGAAUUAACUGAGAGGAGUGUCUGAAUGAAUGGAUCACUUUCCAGGAUUAUGAGCUGAAAUUUGAUUAGCUAUGUAGUUGAAUGAAUCAUUCAAUCCGGAUGAUGUAGCUUAGCAGAUAGGAUUUUGUCCAAAGAAUUGGAUAAUUGUUUCUGAAUUAGAAUAAUAGACCAAGCAUCAGCACCACGUUGAUCGAGUAACACAGCUUAGCACAGCUCCAUUUAUAAUAACAUAUGAUAAUUACAAAGAAAUUUAAAAAAAUGUUAUCAAAAUCACAGAAACCAGGCACAAUUAAAUUAACAUCAACGGCAGGCACAACAAACUACUAAAUGAAUGAUGACAUAAGAAGAAGAAUAUUUUUCAUAAAGAGAAAUGAGAAAAUCCUAAAUAAUAAUGUAGCAUAAAUACUUUAAUUUUCUAGUUAAGUAUAUUAUUCAAUUUUUCUCUUCGAUAUUAAUUUCAAAAUUGUCAGACUUAUUACAAAUUGUUACCAACGAAGUUGAUGUAACUCAAUUAUCUGACAUUAAUUAUGGAUAUGAAUAAUUAAAUUUUGCGUGUUUAAUAAGUGGGUUGUGUUCGAAUCCGUUUAAUCCCGUCAUGACACGAAUCAAGAACAUGAUUAUUAGCUUAAUUUGUAUAAAGUUUUAGGAAAAAAAGGGUGUCCGUUAUAAAACGGGAGAGAGAGAUGAACCGGGUCGACCCGUCAUCAUCGCCAGAAACCGGACGGAGCGUCGCGUUUGAAGCACGAAAAUUGCGGCUAAAACCCAUCACCAUCACCUUCGAUCUCGCCGGAAUUAGGCCUCGCCACCGCCUGGAUCUUUCUCNNNNNUUAAUUAAUUAANNNNNUUUAUUUCAUUUUGUCCAUGGUCGGCAAUUACCAAAUCAAAAUGUCAAUGAUGGCACCUAAUUUCUAGAAACCUUGCACUAAUUUUCAACAAUUUCUAGAAGCUUUGUAUUGAUUUUCAGUACGGAAUGACUAUAGCAGGAGUUUAAAGCGUGUAGUCAGAUCUUACAGAAAAAUUAUUGAAAUUUGAGAAAAUUAAAGGUCGAUGCUUUUUGCCGAUGACAAUUGCACGUAAAUCGCACAUGACAAAUAGAAUGAAGUGAAUGAGUUUGUUUUGUAUUGAAACGUUCCGUGGCUUUAGUCGUCAUGUACAAUUUUAUGUGUAAUGUCGUGUAAAAAUAACAUUACUAAAUUAAAUUGCAUAUAACAAUGAACAUAUUAUAUAUAUAUCCGCAAAAAUUGAAGGGAUUUUGCUCGACAAUCUAAAAAGAUUUAAAACCUUGCUCGCAAAUUUUGGGAGCAACACUGUAUGGAGAACAACAUAUAUAUGGGAAAGACUCAGACUCAAGAAUAGCGCAAUUUGUGCACUGCGCGUUAUAUGACGAGUGUGAUCCUUAAAAUAUGAUCUUGAAGCUUCUCAAUCAAGUAAAUUAUGAUAAAAAAAAAAAAACCAAGGAAGUUAAAGCUACUCAUCAUUGAUAAUCUGAAACUGUGAACCACACAAGCUUAAAGUUAUUGUUGAUUUAUCAAGGACUUCUUGUAAGAAACCAAAAAUAGCAACCGUCCUAUUAAUUGUCUUUAAAGUUAAUGAUUUUAUCUAUUAAUUAAUAAGGAUAAUUUUGAAUUUUUAUAAUAUAUAUAAGGAUAUAUGUGAAACUAUAUAAAGUAUAAAACUGAUUCUUAAAAUUAGAUUUUGAAAAGCUACUCCUCUCCUAUUGCUUUUCAAAAGCUGCUCUAAGAUGGGGUGAUUUUGCCAAAUUUCUAAGAAAAUUUACCAAAUACCAAAAUUAAUUUUAGUUUUUCAAAAUCACUUUUAAACUCCCUAAAGCAAUACAAAACGUGCCCUCCAUAAAUUAAGAAUGUCCAAUCAACUAAAAUUGACAAAAAAAUUUAAAAUCUUAUACCCCCACUACAACAAAUAUGACUGUUAUAGCACUAAUUCAUAGCGUUUUAUAUCAAAUGUCCUGACAAUCAUACAUUUUAUAGCAUUUCUCAUAAAAAUUGCUAUUAAACUAAAAUUUUAUUAGAUGUAUAACAUUACUUUUAUGACAUAUUUUUUAAAAGUUAUAAAAACGUUAGUUAGCAUAGCAUUUUGUAAAAUAAGUUAUAAAAUAAAUUGUUACUUAAUAGUUUUUAUGACAUUUUUUGUAAAAGCUAUUGGAAAAAACAAAUUACAACAUUUAUAAAAUGCUAUAGAAAUAAAAAAAAUCAUUAAAAAAAAGCUUUUUUAGGCACCAAAUUUCAUUAGAUUGGCGCCCAUAUUAUAACAUUUUAUUAUGACAUUUUUAAAAAAUGCUAAAUAAAUAUAUACUUAAGAUAGCGUGAUUGUAAAGAAAUUAUAAAAUAAAUAUUGAAAAGUUACUUUAUAACUUUUUAUAAAGUGUUAUAGAAUUUAUUAUAAAAAAAUCUCUAAAAUGGCGCUAACUUUACUAUAUUGGCGCCCAUUCUUCCCAUCCCAAGAAAAAGCCCAAAAGCUUUCUAUUACCUUUUCUCCAAAUCCCUUUCAUCUUUUUCUCUCUGCAGCUCUAAACUUUCUCUUUUUUCCUUUUCCUAAUCGAUCAAAGUAGCUGGUUCAUCUUCUCAAGUCAAUCCAUCAGGUAUGUACAAAGCUUUAAGCUUGUUACGUGCUUUAAAAGAUCAAAAUGAAUAAUAAAAAUAAUACAAAGCUUUAAGCUUUCUAUUACUUGCAUUUUUUUUNNNNNUUAAUUAAUUAANNNNNAAAAAAAAAAAAAAAAAAAAAAAAAAAAAAAAACUUUAUCCCGUUUUAUCCUCCUUUUGAUCAAAGUGCCAACAAGACGAAACCAAAAAGCUUGUUAUCUAUUCAUUUCCUCAUCAUUUAUGGCUCGAAGCCCAAACCUCAAAACUAUACAAAGACCAAACCCAACAUAAAGACAAGCUACGCCGAAGAACCGAACCCCCAUAACAUUGGAUUUUGGAUCGUGGAGGAAACAACCCAAAUAUGGGUCCAACUCUAAUGUAACUGUGGUUACACACACUAUCUUUUGUCUUUUUGUGAUCCAACCAUUGAAUUCAAUCAAAGAGUUACAAAGUUAUUCCAAUGGCAUGGAUGCACUUACUUGGUUAUUAACGAUACAGUCCCUUCUGUUUACUACAAAAAUAAGGAAAGAUUAAGUUUUAAAAUUUUGACACAUUAGUCCAUUAAAAUAUUUUAUUAUAUGGGUCAAAGGCAAUUUGGUAAAUGAACAUAUUUAUAUAUUAAAAACAAUGUAUGGAUGGAUUAUUUUAAUUUACUAAAAUACUCUCCACUCCCAUUUACUUAAAAUACCAACUGGAUUAUAAUAAUAUUAUCUUGUUUUUAGUGUAAUACUAGAUUGGACAAGGUUUUAUAAACAUUUUGACAAUAUUAAAAUGAAAAAUAAAUAAAUAUUAAAUAAAUUCUUGGAUAAUCAUUUAAAUUUCAUUAUAGAGUUUAUAAAUAAUAUUUUCAAAAUAAUAAAUUUCUAUAUAUAAAUUUGAAAUUACGUAAAAUUACUUUACCUUAUUACACGUAUGAAGCUGAUCAAUUAUUUAUUUAAUGUGAAAAAAAUAAAUUAUAUAAUAUUUAUUCUAUUACUUAAAUUUAAAAUUAUAAAGAAAGAAAACUUAAAUUUAAAAUUGUAAAGAAUGAAUAAUAACUUAAACUAAUAUAUUAUGGGAGAAUACCUUUAAAAAAAAUUAAAAUUAACUGACUUCUUAGGCUUCUAACAUAACAUUUUAAUUUUCUGUUGUUAAUAUAAGACAAAAUUUUAGUUUUAAAAACUUAUUCUAGGUUCUCCUUAGGGUGAAAAAAAAAGUCAUUAUCACAUGAUAAUAUGGUAGCAUAAGUUGUAUUAUUUUUAGUUUACUUAUUCAUAUCAAACACCUUAUUAAGAUUAAAUUUUAGUAAAGUAAAUCUAGCCCACCGUCUUUAAUCACAUUCAACUGGUUCUAAUUGAUUGGAUCUUAUUAUAAAAGUAAGGUAUAACUCUCUUUUUUUAUUAAAAUGGUAAAGAAGAAAACAUAAACGCAGUAUAUUUCUUUUGAGAAAAUUCAAGUAUUAUUUUUCUGAGAUUUUAUGUUUAAGAAAUUAAUCUAAUUUAUGUAGUUAGAAGUCUUUUUUUUUAUGUUUUAGAAGAAUUAUAUGUUUGAUAAUGAAUAAAUUAAGAUUUAAAGUAGAACAAACUGAUUUAAGAAGGAGAUAGAGAGAAUAAAUUUUUUAGAAUUUGAAAAUUAUUAUAUUUUAAAAUUAUUGUAUUUUAAUUGGGGCUUAUUACAUAAAAUUAUUAAAACUUAUAGUUUUUAUUAUUUAUAAAAAAUAAUAGGGAUUGGUAAAGAAAAAGCCAAAUAGAUUUUUUAAAAAUUUGAAAUUAUUAUAUUUUAAUUGGCACUUAUUGCAUAAAAUUUUUAAAACUUAUAGUUUUUAUUAUUUACAGAAAAUAACAGGAAUUGUUAAAGAAAAUAUCAAAUUUGGGUGUUUAGUACAACGGUUGCAAAGUGAUUUUAUCCCCCAAAUAUAUAUCAUUUCUCAUUUCUUACACACACACACACACACACACACACACACACACACACACACACACACACACACACACANNNNNUUAAUUAAUUAANNNNNUUAUGGGCAAACGUGGGAUCUUGCGUGUUCCGCCUUUUGGGGGACGGUACGGGACUCUGACUGCUGCAUUAUGGGCAAACGUGGGAUCUUGCGUCUUCCGUCACGGUUCUAGGAAAGCACAAAUGCCGUGAUUCUGUGAGAUCGUAUUUUCACCUUUUGGGGGACUGUACGGGACUCUGACUGCUGCAUUAUGUACAAACGUGGGAUCUUGCGUGUUCCGCUUUUUAGGAGACGAGUAUUGGCUCUGCUUAUACCUCUGGUCAGUACCCAUCUCUGAUCGGCUCAUGUUAGCCUCAGUGUUCUGCUCAUAUCACUUUGGCCGAGGCGAUCCGUGCGGAAUGGUAGCGUGGCCGACCUGAUACUUUUAUGUACUCAACAACAGGUUUUGCAUUUAGAUGAAUCAUUCAAUCAAUAAGCAAGUUGAAUCAGCUAAUUCGCAACCCAAAAUGUUUCAGACAGUUGAAAUAGAAAUCCAUAAACCACAAUUCAUCUACAUUUCUUUAGUAUAUUUGCGACUUUUGCUACAAUCUUAAGAUCAAGAUCGAGGGCCACAAAGUCAUUCCAAACACGAACAACACAACACAUAUGUCAAACUUCCAAAACCAACAAACUACAAUCAAACAAACCAGAACCCGACAUCGUCCCAUCAAACAGCCAUCAUCACUUGCUAAUUUUGCCUCAUAGCUUCACGCCAAGAGCCUUCUCCAUCUUCGCCAAAACAGUUUUGUUCGGCACAGCCUUUCCGUUCUCAUACUCCGAAACCAGCUGCGACCGCUGGCUUAUAUUCAGAGCCAGGUCGGCUUGGCUCAUCUUCUUCCCCAGCCGCGCCCUCUGUAUCUGCCUCGACGUAUCCGGCUCGGUUCCCUCAUCAAGCUUCCUCAUGUUGACGACUGCUCCGGCGGUCUUCUUGUUUGAUCCGGCGUCGAACUUCUUUACGGUCUGGACCGGCGCGCCUGACCGCAGCGCCUGGUUCACCGCCUCUGGGUUUCGCAACUCUUGAGCCUUGCUCUUGGACUUGUGGAGCACCCCAGGCUCUGAUACAACUUGGCCCAUUGUUGUGAAUCAGAUCGAGCUUAAUGAGACAGCAAGGGAAGAGAUCCAGCGUACAGAAAUGGAAGAAGCUCAACCCUUGAAUGAGACUCAAGCUAGAGAGCAGCCCAGGACAGGUCCAGCUCGCGCAAGAAAGAAACCAGGAUGGCUCAAAGACUUUGUCGUUUGAAGAAUGUUCGAGAAUGCUUGAGAUAUGAGAAUAACGAAUAUUGUUCUGUUUUCAAUAUUCGGCUAUCGGCUCGGCAUCGUCGGUAAAGCGUGAGAGAUCUAGGAGAGUUUGAUUUGAUUUACUUAUUAUCUUUUUCUACAAGCAAAAAUCGAGAGACAAUCAGGUGAUGGGGUGCGACUGAGGAGACAGCUUAUAUAGAAACCUCGUCUCUGGAAAGUUCUUCCAGCUUCGAGGUUGCGUUAUGCGAGCAAUGGUAAAACUUCCAUCAAAUGGAUGACAUGCCAAAUGAUUAUUGGUUUUUGUUGCUGACGAGGACAGUUAGCGUAUCGUAAUUAAGCGCGUUGUGCGUGAUCGCCAAGGCAGCUAAAUAUCUGCGGGUGUUGGGAUGACGUGGCAACAGUGUGUAAACCGUAAGAUAUAAUGGGCUGGGCCAACCUGAAAUGGCGCGAACUUUGUGCUACUGACACCCCUUCGAAACAUUAAAAAUAACCUCCAUUUUGAUAUUUUGUAAUUUUUUUUUAAUCUAUUGAUAUUUUACAUCAAACAUCUGUUAUUAACUUAUUAUCUCCAUUUUUACCCUGUACAAAUAUUGGAGAGCUGGGAGAAAUGCCUUUUUUUUUUUUUUUUUUUNNNNNUUAAUUAAUUAANNNNNAUUUGAGAGCAUGAGUGCUGUCAACGGGCUACGAGCCUAUUGGCAGAUGCGGAGGAUUUCUAUUAAACAUUGAUAGACUAUGUUUGUAUUUUACUCGUUUCCUUUCUUGACGUCUUUAGUAGACUUUGAUUAUUCAAUUUCCACUAACCAGUCCAAAUUAAAGCUCAAACGAUAUAUAGAUAAGAGAAAUGUUAAUUGUCUGUCGUAUAUGGUGAUGUGGCAGCCGCCUAGACUCGAGUUGGUGUUAUUAUUGUUUUAUAGAAGGUAGAGGAAUAGACGGUAUCCAUUUAUAUGUUAUGACACAUUCCUCCCUUAUGAUUGAAUAGCGAAUCAAAUAAAGUUAUUUGAUUAGUACAAGAAAACAAUGUGUUAAACUGGCAAAUUCGUUUUAAUCCAAAACAAUGUGUCCCACUUUUAAUGCAAGAAGUCAUUGGAAUUUAAAUGCCCAAAUCUUACAAUUAUAUGCAAGAAGGCAUUGAAGUAUAUAUAUGCAAGAAGGCAUUGACGUUAGCCUAUAAAUAUUAUUUUUUCAGAUAAAGAGUCAAGCUUAUUUGAUUUUCCCCAUGGCGCAUACAAAGAACAAUUUGUACGUUAACCAAAUUCAACAUUUCAUAGCCCAGAGAUGCACUAAAUCAAAGUCAGCCCAUGCCAUUUCCCACAUCAAUAAUUUUUCGAAUCAUUUUUAAACCAAUAAAAUAUAAGUGGUGAAACAUUCUAAAGAUAUGGAAAUAGAGCAAGGCAAGUUUGGCAGCUAGGGAUGGCAAUUGGAUCGCUCAAUAUCCAUAAUACCCAUCUAAAAUUUUUUGGAUCUUAAAAUGGAUAUUUUUAAAAUUAUAUUCAGUUGGAUAUGGAUAGAUAUGGAUAAUUAAUUUUACCCAAUGAAUAUCCAUUUAAUCCAACACAAUUUUAAAAAAUUUUAAUUUUAUAAAAUUAAAAAUGAAAAAUGUAAUAAACAAACAAUUGUAAAAAGAUUAACGUACCAAUCUUCAAACGCCUUUACAUUCGGAAGUUCAAUCUCAGCACGUGAAAAAGGAUGCACAAGAGUUAAGCUCAAAUCUCGAGUCAUGCUUAGAAGCCAACCUUUUGAAGACAGGCAUCUCUUAUUGUCAUCUGCUACCGCUGCUUCUGGUAAGCAAAAUUGACGAGUCAUUGCAUUUAACGGAUUGAAAAAACGGCGCAGGCGAGGCAUUUGAUCAGACUUGUAUAUAAAAUUCUUGAUAUUUGUCGCUGAUCGCCAAGAAGUGCAAACCCAAUGAAAGGCCACAAAGUCUUGGUAGAAUUUUAUCUGCUCAGCGAUUUCGACUACAAGGUCUUGGUUAAGUUCUGACCAUUGAUGGAUGGUAAGAUCUCUUUUGGAGGUAUGAGAAGAAAAAUUAGGGAACAGAGGAUGGCCAAUUUAGAUUUUCGGUUUUCGCUGCAGUUCUGUAAUCAUGUUCGUGUUGUGUUCGAUAAUUUGCUUCACUGAAGUGAAGUGACGAAGGUUCAUGCGACGGACUAAGCUGCAAUUGUUUUUUCAAAUUUUUUUAAAGGGAAAUUAUCAUUUUACUACUAAAGUUUUACUGACAUAUCAUGUCAGUACCAAAGUUUGCCGAAAAGCUCAUUUUACUACCAAAAUUUUGCGCCGUUAUCAAUUCACUACCAUUCCAUUAAGAAAAAGUUAAUGUUUAACGAAAAUUGAGUUAAAAGUCGAUUUUAUCCUCAAGAGUUUGGUAGUAAAAUGAUAAUUCCCCUAAAAUUUUGGUAGUAAAAUAAUAAUUUAUCUAUCAAAUUAAUAGACAAUUUUACUCUUACAGCUAGAAAUGUCUUUGAUGCCCUUAUGACAUCAGCAAAUUUUUAACGUUGUUANNNNNUUAAUUAAUUAANNNNNAUCCAACAAAAAUAUAUUAAUUUAAUAAAAAAAAUUAAACUUGUAAAUAUAGCAUUAGUACUUACUAAUAAAUAAAUAAAUUAGAAUAUAGUUACAUUAACAUCAUGUUAUAUCUUAUCCGAUAAUAAUAUAAAAUAAAAAUAAUUAAAUAAACAAAUAUAACUUCCUAAGCAGUUAAUUUUCAUGUAUUAAUCUAAACAAAUGAGUUUUUUUUUUCUUUUUGGUGUGUUAUAUUUUAAAAUUUUGAAUAUAUUUUCUAACUCUAUUUAAGCAAUUAAUUAAUUUAAAUCUUAUUUAAUCUUGAAUUUGAUAGCUAGGAAAAUCAUUUUUAUAUUAAUUUUUAUAUUUAGUUAGUUCGUGGAUAUGACAGAAUUAAAAAUGUUUAGCUCACAAAUCAAUACAUAAAAUCGUGGAUUGGAUAUAAAUUAUGUUAAAUUUGCAUCCGAUCCGUAAAUGUAUUGAUUGAAUUUGGAUUAAACUUCACCAAUCCAUGGAUUUGAUUAGAUUAAAAAUUUAUAAUCUGUAAAAUUUAAUCCGCGAACAUCCCUAUUUACUUCUUUUGUAUGAGCUUAACUGACACUUUCACAAAAGUAAGGGGCCAAAGUGUUAAUAUAAUAAUUUAUUAUCAUGUUGGUCAUUAUUUUAAAGAGAAUUGAUUUAGGGAAUGAAACUUCAGCAUUUGCUUAAACGUCUAAGCAAGCCCAUGAUCACGAAAAAAUAAAACGACAAUUAUUUUGUUCCGUUUGUGGACGAUUCACAUUUGUGCGGUCAAUGGCACGCUGCGUGUUGGAUCCAAAAUCCAACUAUGUCAACAGCUGGCAUGUCCAUUUUUUCAAAUAUUUUUUUUAAAUAUAUUUUCUUUUGGCUUUAAUGUGACAUACAUUGCCAACUCAAGUGUGGACAGAUGGCGUGAUGCUAUCUUCUAAAGGCUUAGGAGGAAAUAAUAAAAAGGUACAAUAAAUAAGCAUCGUGUGAUGAUAUUUAAAUAUUAAAGAAUUAUAAAAUCUGACGUUUAACUAUUUUUCUAAUACUUGAUUAUUAGUAAACAUAUGAAAUAUUGAUUCUAUCCUUACUUUAAGGGAAGACAAUUAUUAAUUCUUUAAUAAUAAUUCAUAUUAAUUUCAUUUUCAUGUACUAAAUAAUUUUUGGUAAUGUUCGUGAUGGAUAGUGUAACCAUUCUACUAAAUAAUUUUUGGUUCAGUUAAAUAUUAAUUUCAUUUUCAUUAUUAGUUAUUGAUAUAAAUUUAAAAAAAUUAUAAAUUAUAAAUUUUUAUGUCAUGAACUUUAUUAUUUAAUACUUAAAAUGUCCGUGAUUGUUUUUAUCUAUGGAUGUGUUUGUGAGUAUGUUAAUUACCAUUGUUUGUUAAUUUUUUAUUGAUAAUUAAUAUUUAAAAUUAAAUUAACAUUCAAUUGAAUGAAAAAUUAUUGUAAUAAAUACAUUAUAGAAACCUUAUAUUACCCUUUUUUGUGUAAAUGUAAACUUUUAUUUAAAUUUUUGGGGUUUUGAUACAAUAGCAAAAAGGUUUUAUUGGAAUUUUUGUGGUUUUUCUUUUUUCCCUAAAGUAAGGGCAAAAAAUGGUUAAUUAAUGAAAAAAUAAUAAAAGGUAAUAUUUUAUAAUUCUUUAGUAGUAAAAUAUUAUGUUGCAAUACCUGCUACACCUAAUUAUUAUUUCACAAUAACUUAAGUAAUAAUAAUAAAAGUAAUGACAACAACAAUGCUAUUUUUAAUUAUACUUUUUAUUUUUGUAAAUAAUUAUUAUUUUGCAGUAACUUAAGUAGUAAAAAAAACUAUCUUUAAUGAUACUUUUUAUCUAAAUUUUAUAUAUAUAUAUAUAUAUAUAUAUNNNNNUUAAUUAAUUAANNNNNCUAGAGCACAUGUGCUGAUGAUGAUCAGUCCAUCAAAAGUAAUUCUAGGUUCAUUUUAGAAAACAAUGUGAUGGGAUAGAAACGAUGCAUAAAUUUCUGCUGCUGAUGUGUAGACAAACCAUGACAGGUUAUCACUAAAGAUAUGAAGCUAAAUGCCCUUCUAAGGUCAUACAGAGGAGCAAUUGAAAGUCAAAGCAUAACCUGUUGAUCGAAACUGUUCAAUAAACAUUGACGAGGAGCAAGGUCUAAUAUAAAAUAUUUAAAAGAACCAAAAUGCAGAGAACCCCUGGCACUAUUUAACAGUAAAUAGUACUUUUUUCCUUGACAAAUAUAUAUUUAGCAAUGUACUUACAUCUUCUGUCCUUGUUCCCAAAAAAGUACACCAAAAAGUAAAGAUGAUGUAGUUGUGUGCAUUAUACGCGUUAAAUUGUAUGAAGGACUUCUCCAGUAAGACAAAUGGAGCUUCCACAAGCAAGAUUUAAAUUGUCCCCAACCAUUGCGUGAAAAGCGAGUUGGAAAAUGCAGAUCUCUUGAACCAAGAGGUGGAGUAUUCAAUUGCUUUACAAGUUCUUUGUUGUUCCUACAAGCAUUGCAAUAUCGCCAAAUGCAAAAGGCGUAAGUGAUUGUCAUCCAAGCAUACUAACUGCAACGCAAGCAAAUGAAAUUCUACUAUUAUAGAAAUCUGAUAUUUACCCUCAGUUCUGUGGAAAGGAGAUGUUCUCUAACUAAAAGCAAAUCUUUCAUAUCAAAGAUUGGCUGCAUUAUUACUAUUGAUCAAUAUAUAUAUAUACACACUGCCAACUGGUUGUUCAAAUCCUCUUUUGUUGUUCAUGAGCAUAACAAUUAAAAAAAUUUAUGGCUAGCCUCCUCCAGAGUAAUUAUAAUUUUGUGGUAGUAACACAUUCCAAAACUACAACAAAAUCUAAGACCCUUUUUUAAUUGAACUUACUCAUAUAAAGCAGAUUCCCUGUAUAUUUGAGAAAAAUCUAUACCAAGUUCAGCUUCAGCAGAUGUGGAAGUGACUUCUAAUAUCCAUGUUGCUGGGUUAUAAUUUUUUCUAAUCUUUGGCACUCCAGAGAUACCCUGUCAGUAAAAGUGUUUAGUCGUCGGCUUUUAAAAAAAUAAAAUAAUUUGCAAGAACUCACCUCAAAGUACUCUAUGACUUGACUUGAAUGCUUUCCUAAAGGUCCACAGUAGAUGAUGCGCCCACCAAUUUUCAAGAGGAUCAGCUGAAGAUCCAGAUAAAAUGUUUGUAUCAAUUCAUCGAAACGAGAGUAACUAGAUUAUUUAAGCUAAACUAAAUCUCUUUCCCCAUAAGAAAAGCGACUUGAUACGCCAAAACUUGACCAUCGAGUAUAAAAGUAUUACCAGAAUGAAACCAGCAUCAACGUUUCACAAUCAAAUUCUAGUUUUACAUUUAUAUAAUAAAGCAAGCUAAAAUUGUUUUACCUCAUCAAAUGCUUCAAAUAUAUCAAUACUUGGUUGGUGGAUAGUGCAUACAAUUGUUCUUCCUGUAUCAACCACAUUUUUCACAGCUCGCAUGACAAUUGCUGCUGCUCGUGCAUCAAGACCAGUUGUAGGUUCAUCCAUAAAAAUUAUAGAGGGAUUGGCGACAAGUUCGACAGCUAUAGUAAGCCGCUUACGUUGCUCAGUUGACAGACCAUUAACACCAGGUAUGCCAACUAAGGAAUCCUUAAUUCCAUCAAGCUCAAUGGUCUCAAGGACUUCAUUCACAAAUUCCUAUUGGAACAUGCCAUAGAAGCAUUAAAUAUUCAUCAUCUGAAACCUAAAGCAAUCAGUGAACAUUAGAGCUACAGAAUCUUACAGCUUUAGUUUUUGAGUUNNNNNUUAAUUAAUUAANNNNNAGUAGAUGACAAGUUGUUUAUGAAUAUGCAACCGAAUGACAUGUCUUAGAUGGAAUAUUAAAGAAGACAUCAUGGCGUUUCCUCUAUUGAUGCAGCCGACAUGUGAAAAUGGCAAAAUGCUAUGCACUAGCACAUGUUGUAGAUGACUCAUCGUUUAGUUUUUCAUGAAAACGACGCGUCGUUAGUCAAAUAAAUGCUAGGACGACUCUACAGGGCAUGCUCAUCAGAAAAUGGUGCAUCAUCUUCGAAGUCGAAUUCCAAAUGAUUUUAAUACAAGUAAGAGAUUGUUUGUUUUUCUAACAGUUACAUGGAAAGAACCAUUACAUUUGAGUUAUAAUUUGAAUUAUUACAUGAAAUAAUAACAAUUACAUUUGAGUUCUAAUUUUAGUCCUAAAUACUGACCUAAUUACGUGAUGACCUUAUAAAAUUACUUAUUUACCUUCCAAUAGAUGAGUUACUGAAUUUUAGUAGUAGUUAUAAUAACAAUUUCAUUCACAACUACAAUCAGUAAUUACAACUAAAACUGUAAUUACGAUUAUAGUAAGAUAACAAGAUCUUAAAUUUCGAGCACGUAAAUAUAUCUCUAUACCAUAAUGUUAUAGACUUGAAAUUCACAAAAUUUAUUGUUUUUCAUUUUUUAUAUGAAAUUGUAUAUUUAAGGAAAAAAAACUAAGUCAUGCGACAUAUGUUUUUUGGAGAAUUAUUAUUAAAAAAAUAUGCUAAUCCACAAUUGGGGAUAGUUUCUAGCACAAAAUAUAGAAAAAAAAUACAAUUUGAAAUCUCUUUGAGAUACAAAUAAUAAAAAAACACUAAAACUAGUAACAACGAUAAUAAUAAAAUAUUAUGAUAAAUGCUAAUAACAAUAAUAAUGAAAAUGAUGACGACAAUAACAACAAUAAUAAUAUAUUUAAUCGGCAAAAGUAGAUGACAACUCGUUUAUGACUAUAUAGUCGAAAGACACAUCUGACCUUUUUCAUUAAAGAAUAUGUCAUGUCUUUUCUUGUACUCAUGUAGCCGACCUGUGUAAAUAAUAUGUGUGGGCGCAUAUUGUAGAUGACUCGUCAUUUACUUUUUAAUACAAAUGAGGAGUCAUUAACCAAAUAGGCCCUAGGACGUCUUUAUAGGGACAUUCUUGAUCAGAAAACGACACAUCUCUUCAAUGUCGAAUUCUAAAAGAUUUUAAAAUAAGUAACAGAUUGUAUGUUUUUUUAACAAUUAUAUGGAAAAAGAACCAGUAUAUUUGAGUUCUAAUCUAAGUCCCAAAUACUGACCUAAUUAGGUGAUGAAUUUUAUAACUUAUAAAAUUACUAGAUGGGUUACCAAUUUUAAUAGUAAUUAUAACAACAAUUUCAAUCACAACUACAACCAUUAAUUAUAAUUAAAAUUGUAAUUAUGAUUAUAGUAAUAUAACAAGAUCAUAAAUUUCGGGCAUGUAAAUAUACCGAUGCACCAUAAAAUUGUAGACUUGAAAUCCACAAAUUUUAUUUUUAUUUUUUUUGUAUAUGAAAUUCUAUAUUUAAGAGAAAAACUAAGUCAUUUGACAUAUGUUUUUUCCAAAAAUUAUUAUAAAAAAAUGCUAUCAAUCAACUGGGGAUAGUUUCUUGUGCGAAAUGUAGAAAAAAAAAUACAGUUUGAAAUCCCUUUGAGAUACAAAUAUUAAAAAAACACUAAAAAUAGUAACAAAGAUAAUAAAAUUGAUACUAUUAUUAUGAAAAAUACUAAUAACAGUAGUAGUGAAGAUAACAAUAAUAAUAAUAACAACAACAACAAUAUUGUUAUUAUUAUUAUUAUUAUUAGUACUACUACUACUAUAACAUUUAUAAAAAAAAAAAAAAAUNNNNNUUAAUUAAUUAANNNNNGAAUUCUAAUAUGGUAUCAGAGCCACGAAACAUGACGAAUCAAAGCAAUUCAGGAUCGUCUUCACUUUCUUUUUCUUUUAUUCAACCAACAAAACUUGAUCGAACAAAUUAUCUGGUGUGGAGAGCUCAAAUUCAAGCUUCGAUUAUUGCCAAUGGACUUGAAGGUUUUAUCAAUGGAGAAUCUCCUUGUCCAGAUCGUUUUCUUUCCUCAUAUGAGAAUGCUGCCAGUAGAUCAGAAGCUCCUAGCUCAAGCAGACGUGAAAAUUCUGACUAUAUUGACUGGAAGAAAGCUGACAAGCUUCUACAGAGCUGGAUGCUGUCAUCUAUGGUAGACAAUGUACUUAUCAUGGUUGUGGAUUGUGAUACUUCACUUGAGAUCUGGGAGAAGCUUGCCGAGAUGUUCAUGUCACAGUCAAAGGCUAGAUACAUGCCUUUGAAAAUGCAGAUUCAAACCACAAAGAAAGGAGCUAUGUCAGUAAGUGAUUACUUCAAUAAGAUGAAAAAAAUUACAGACAGCUUAGCUAUUGGUGGUAAUCCUCUUGCUUCAACAGAUUUUAUAAUGCAUUUGCUCACUGGUUUAGAUGACAACUAUGAGUCAUUAGUGACAACUAUACUUGCUAGGCUGGAAAAAGAUAAUCUCACUAUUGAAGAAGUGUAUUCCUUAAUGCUUAGUCAUGAAACUAGGGUUGAGAUGAGUAAGGGAAAGGUGCAAAAUGAAUUGUUGCAUGAUAUGUCAGCUAAUUUUGCUCAGAAAGGACAGAAUUACAAUAAGUUCAAUAAUGCUAAUCAGAGAGGUUUUAAUGGUGGAAAUUUUGAUAAUGGCAAAGGAGGAUAUAAUGUUGAUAAGGAAGUAAUUUGUCAAAUAUGCUUCAUACCUGGUCAUGGAGCAUACAAAUGCAGGAACAGAUUUAAUCAGAACUUUAUUCCUAGACAAGGAAGAGGUGGCUUUAGGCCUAGAGGUGGAUUCAAUUUUAGAGGCUUUCCUGGUCAGCCUCAGAACAUGUUUGGAAGAGGUUAUGGAAAUUUUUAUGGAACUGCAACUGGUGCUCCUAGAUAUAAUGCACCCAUGUUUCAAGGGAAUGUUGCAUAUCAGAAUGCAAAUGUUAUGUAUCCUCAAGGGUUUCCUGUGUUUCAAGGAUUACAAGGUCAAUACAAUGGUGCAAUUGCUACUCCAUUUGCUAACUAUGGAGUUGCUCCUUCUGCUAUUCCCACUGCACAAUUUGCUCCCACUGGUCCAGUUGCUGAUUAUGGAGUUGUAGCUGAUCCUGCUUGGUAUAUUGACUCCGGGGCAACCAAUCAUGUGACUAAGGAAGCAGGUAUCUUUUCUUCUUACUCAGUUUAUCAUGGUUUUGAUAAGCUACAUGUAGGAAAUGGCAUGGGAUUACAUAUUAAACAUGUUGGGUGCACACGAUUGAAUACACUUGCUGCAACAUCUAUCUAUCUUAAUAAUAUUUUGCAUGUCCCAACUAUAACCAAAAACCUUUUAAGUGUAUCUAAAUUACUUGCUGACAAUGAUGUUGUUGUUGAAUUCCAUAAAACCUCCUGUUUUGUCAAGGACAAGAAAUCAGGGAUCAUCUUGCUCAAGGGGAUUGCUAGAGGAGGAUUAUAUCAAGUUGAAGGUCCUAUUGUAGUGUCUCAUGCUGCAGUUUCAAAUAGAGUUCCGUCUAAUGUUUUCUGUGUCAUCUCAAAUUCCAGUUCUGUGUCAAAUGUCUGUUCCUCUCCAGUGUCAAUGAUUAGUCAUUCCAAUGUUUCAAACUCUGUACAUUCUGGAGAAAUUUUGACAGAUGUAAAUAUUUCUCAAUUCAAUAAUGAUGCCUCAAUGGCCUUGUCAGUUACNNNNNUUAAUUAAUUAANNNNNUUUUUUUUAUUUUUAUAUAAUAUUUUUAUUUAAAUAUUUAUAUUAAAUUAAUAAUUUAAGAUUCAUUUAUAUUUUAUUAUUAUAUAUAUUCAAAUAGUAAUUUAAAACUUUUAUAAUUAAAAUAAAUAAUUUUCACCGCCGGCCACCAUAAGCCUCUGCUGAGCACUGCGCACUGCCACCGAUUGUUGUACUUUAGUGUCAUAUGAACUAUUGAGAAAAUUAUUGAAGAAAUAUGUAUCUCAUUUUCUUAUUUUUUUACAAUAGGAUUACAUAAUACAUAUAUAGAUUUUAAACUACAUAACGUGCAGGAGUAGGAAAGUAAACAACUAACUGCAGAUCAAGAAAUAAGGAAACAAACUCUAUCAAAAAAAAAACUAAAAGUCUAUCGCUAUCUUUUUCCUUAAAAAUAGGAUAGAAAACAAGUGACUUUUCCACACUCCCCCUCAAGCUGGUUCGAAGAUAUCAAUCAUUCCCAACUUACUAGUUAGUGACUUAAAACUUGAUUUAUGAAGUCCUUUAGUAAAAAUAUCAGCUAGUUGCUUUGUUGUUGGAACAAAGGUCAUCCAUCAUACAACCACUUUAUAUUUUCUCCUUGAUAAAAUGGCAAUCCACUUCAACAUGUUUAGUUCUAUCAUGAUGAACAAGGUUAUGAGCAAUGUUUAUUGCUGCCUUGUUGUCACAAUACAACUUUAUAGGAACAUCAAUGAUAAUCUUCAAGUAGCUUCUUUAACCACAAAAGUUCACAAAUACCAUGUGCUACUGCUCUAAAUUCAGCUUUAGCACUGCUUCUCGCAACCACUGGUUGCUUCUUACUCCUCGAAGUUACCAAGUUUCCUCCCAUAAAUGUGCAAUACCCUGAAGUUGACCUUUUAUCAAUAAUAGAUCCUGCCCAAUCUGCAUCAAUAUAUACUUGAACUUGCAUAUUGUUAUUUUUCUUGAAUAGCAGGCCUUUUCCUGGAGUUUUUUUUUUAGAUACUUGAGAACCUUGUAAACAACUUCCAAGUGCUCUUUACAUGGAGAGUGCAUAAAUUGACUAAUAACACUUACUAUAAAGGCUAUGCCUGGCCUAGUAUGAGACAAGUAUAUCAACUUACCAACCAACCUUUGGUAACUUUCUCUAUCCACUGAUUUUCCUUCAGUUGCAUAUCCCAAUUUGUGAUAAGGAUCAAUAAAAGUGUCUUCAGGUUUGCAUCCCAAAAUGCUAGUUUCCUUGAGCAAGUCCAAAGUAUAUUUCCUUUGAGAAACAAAAAUGCCUUCACUAGAUCUUGCAAUUUCCAUGCCCAAAACAUAUCUUAAGGGUCCAAGAUCCUUCAUCUCAAAUUCUAUAGCAAGAACCUUCUUGAGAUUUUCCAUUUAUAUCACAUUGCUUCCAGUCAAGAUGAUAUCAUCUACAUAUACAAUGACGAUCAUAACACUACCCUCAAUGAAGUGUUUAAAAAACAUAGUAUGAUCUGCUUGACUAUGUGAAUAUCCAAAGCUACGAACAGAUUUAGUAAAUUUGUCAAACCAAGCUCAGGAGAUUGUUUUAAGCUGUAAAGUGAUCUCUUCACCUUGCACACUUUUUCAAUACCAUAUUCACUCUCAAAACCUGGUGGUGGAUCCAUAUAUACCUCCUCUAUAAGAUCUCUAUUAAGAAACGCAUUCUUAACAUCUAACUAUUGUAGUUGCCAUCCUAAACUUACUGCAAGAGACAACAAAACCCUAAUAGAAUUCAUCUUUGCCACGGGAGCAAAUGUUUCUUGGUCGUAUGCCAUAUGUUUGUGUAAAACCUUUUUCGAUGAGCCUAGUGUUGUGCAAAUUUUAUUGAACUCGCAAGCACACGAAUCUAUUGUAGANNNNNUUAAUUAAUUAANNNNNGAUAAAACUAAAUUGUGGCACAUGAGAUUAGGCCACAUGAGUGAGAAGGGUCUAAGAGAGCUAAGUAAACAAGGAGUAAUUGGCUCUGAUCAAAUCACCUCACUUGAGUUCUGUGAAAAAUGUGUAUUUGGUAAAGCAACUAGACAGAAGUUUGGCACUGGCAAGAAGGAAACCAAACACUCACUGGACUACAUCCAUUCAGACUUAUGGGGGCCUUCACAAGUUCCAUCACAUGGUGGAGCUAGAUACUUCAUGACUCUGAUUGAUGACUAUACCAGAAAGGUUUGGGUUUACAUCUUAAAACAGAAGGGGGAAGCACUACUGAAGUUCAAAGAAUGGAUGACAUUAAUUGAGAAUCAGACUGAGAGGAAAGUGAAAAGGCUGAGGACUGACAAUGGCCUAGAAUACUGCAGCAAGGAAUUUGAUAGCUUCUGUAAAGAGAAAGGAAUUGUAAGGCACAAAACAGUAAGGCACACACCCCAGCAAAAUGGCCUUGCUGAGAGGAUGAACAGGACCUUAGUGGAGAAGGUUAGGUGCAUGCUGUUUAGUGCCAAUCUAUCAAAACACUUCUGGGCAGAUGCUGUCACUACAGCAGCAUAUCUAAUCAACAGGAGCCCCUCUACAACAUUGAACUUCAAAACUCCACAAGAGGCUUGGUCUGGUAAAACCCCUGAUCUGAGUAACCUUAGAAUAUUUGGCUCACCAGCAUAUGCACACAUCAAACAGGGAAAACUUGAACCUAGGGCAAUCAAAGGUAUCUUUAUUGGUUACCCUGAGGGAGUUAAGGGAUAUAGGAUCUGGUGUUUUGAUGGGAAACCCUCAAGAGUAAUAGUGAGCAGGGAUGUUAUUUUUUAUGAGGAUAUUAUGCUGCAACAGAAGGUUGAAACUGAACUGUUAGCCCCUGAGCAAAGUGUUAGUCAAGAACCUAGCUUAGAGGUAGAGCCUGCAAAUGACAAGAGCAAGUCUCAUGAUAGCAGAAUUAGCACCUCAGAACAAGAUACUUAUCAGCUGGCAAGGGACAGAGAAAGGAGAGUUAUCAGAAUGCCUAAGAGAUUUGGCAUAGCUGAUCUAAUAUCCUAUGCACUCACAGUGGCUGAAGAUGUUAUUGGGGAAGAACCUAGUAGCUAUAAACAAGCCAUAAACGGCAGAGAUAAGUCAAAUUGGUUAUCAGCAAUGAAAGAAGAAAUGGCAUCACUGAAGAAAAAUGAUACCUGGAUUCUGGUAGAGAGGCCAAAUGAAAGGAAGUUGGUGGGCUGUAAAUGGAUCUUCAAGCUUAAAGAAGGGGCUGCUGGUGUUGAUGUUGAACCUCCAAGGUAUAAAGCAAGGCUGGUUGCUAAGGGUUUUACACAGAAAGAAGGGGUGGAUUACAGUGAAGUGUUUUCCCCUGUUGUCAAAUACAGCUCAAUCAGGGUGUUGCUUGCCAUCACUGCUUAUUUUGAUCUGGAAUUAGAUCAGCUAGAUGUCAAGACAGCAUUCCUUCAUGGCAACCUUGAGGAAGAAAUAUACAUGGAACAGCCAGAAGGCUUCAUUCAGAAGGGAUUAGAAGACAAGGUUUGCUUGCUUAAAAAGAGUCUCUAUGGCUUAAAGCAAUCUCCUCGACAAUGGUAUCUAAGGUUUGAUCAGUUUAUGGUGGCUCAUGGCUAUUCAAGAAGUCAAUAUGACAAUUGUGUAUAUUGUAAGCUUCUACCUUCUGGAGAUGGGAUUUAUUUACUCCUCUAUGUUGAUGACAUGCUCAUAGCAUGCAAACACAGAGAAGAAAUAGAGAAACUUAAGUCUGAGCUGAGGUCUGAAUUUGAAAUGAAAGACUUAGGCUCUGCAAGCAAGAUCCUNNNNNUUAAUUAAUUAANNNNNUUUUUUUUUUCUAGUUUGUUUGUUUUUUCAAUUGGUAAUAUUUAUUUGCUUCCCAGUUAAUUAAUUGCCUGCAACAGCUUGCACCAAAGCCAGAACCAGGACCAGAACCAGAUGAACAUGAUAUCUGCUCUAAAUAUAUGAGGACUAUGACUUCCUGGAAGGCCACCAAAAUCAAGCACACCCCAAAAUAUAAAUCUACUGACUCGCCCGCAGGUAUUUUGCUGGGUCCACUAUCAGCCACCACCAUUCCCUGAAUUGCCACCACCAUUCCCGGAUGCCUCUCCUCUUAUGGCUUCAAUUUUUGAGGUAUUAUUUUCUAAUCAAUCUAGUUAAUUUGUUAAUUCAUAUUAUUAUUUUCAAAUUUCUCAGUAUAUUCUUAGCCUGGACCCUUUCCAUUGUGGGUUAUGCACACUAUUGGUCCUGUUACUGUUAGGAUAUUAUUGGACUCAUAUAGAAUUUGCAAAGCUUUGAAAAUGAGUAACCUUGGGGUACAUAUUUCAUUAGUUCGAUAUCCAUACGCUGAUAAGUUGAUCUGCCACCUCAUGUUUUUCUGCACUACACUACAAGAGUUUGCUUGUUCAUACACAGACUGGCACAUGAUCCCUACCUGAACCCGCCCCAUACCCGAAAAAUUGUAAUGGGGGAUUGUUUGGGUAUAUCCCUGAAAAUCCCCGAAUUGAGCGGGGAUUAAAACGGGGACCCGAUCCCCAUUUUUUAAAUAAUAAUUUCUAAAUAUUUCAGUUUUCUUUUUUUUUUAAAUAAUAA